GAAAAACGAAAAAUCACCCAAUUGAAGGAAAUGCCCGAAUUUUAUAUUUCAAGGAUCAAUAAAAUAAGAGGUUUUGUCGUUAUAGAACACAGAAUUCAAUGGAAGCAAUGAUAAAAAAAUACAAAUAGAAAAGGAAAGGGAGGAAAUACAAAAAAAUAGAAGAGAAAAGUCAUACAAAGUUAUAUACAAAUGACUACCCCCCUUUUGUAUUUCCUUAAUUUAUUUCCUUAAUUGAAUUUCGGUUGAUUAGGACGAAGUUCCUUAAAAACCUUCGCCUUCUUUAAAAUAUCCUGAACAGUUCCAGUAGGUUGAGCCCCUUUUUCAAGGUUUGCUGAGUUCCUUAAAGAGAGUUGUCUCGCGCCCCUAGGUAUUCUCUACCUAUUCUAACAAAAAUUCAUUUUUGGGGUGCAACAAGAGUUUGUAUUCUCAAAUGAUAUCAGAGGGAUUUGCGUUUAUUGUGGAAAUUCUGUUUUCUCUACGAUUAAUAUCUUCUUUAUCUUCUUUCGAAGGCAAAAAUAUUUUUAAAUCUCAUUAUUUACGAUCAAGGGAUAAUUUUUCACAUCUAAAUUAUGUACACCAAGCUCGGGAUGGAUUGGUGUGGUUCCUCUAUGCCUAGGACACCAGAAUAUCGAACCAUGAACGAAGAAAGGUAUGAGGGAAAAGCAUAUUGGCUAGUGAUUGUAAGGCCCUAAUUCUUGACUGGAGGGGUUACCAUAGGCCUCUGCCCUUCCAUCCCUUGGAUAGAUAGAGAGAGAGGGCAGAACUUUUGAUUUUUUCAUGUUGUCAAAGAGUUGAACAAUAGUUUUUUCGAGGACCGUAGGUGCGAUGAUUUACUUCACGGGCGAGGUCUCUGGUUCAAGUCUAGGAUGGCCCAGCUGCGCCAGGGAAAAGAAUAGUAGAAGCAUAUGACUACUUCAUGCAUGCUCCACUUGGCUCGGGGGGAUAUAACUCAGUUGGUAGAGCUCCGCUCUUGCAAUUAGGGAAAAAUGAAGCUUGGGUGAAACUAAGUGGAGGUCCGAACCGACUAAUGUUGAAGAAUCAACGGAUGAGUUGUGGUUAGGGUUGAAAUGCCACUCGAACCCAGAGCUAGCUGGUUCUCCCUGAAAUGCGUUGAGGCGCAGCAGUUGACUGAAGUCUAAAGAAAAAUCAUUAUUGAUCAUCCAAGAUGGUUCACUAAUAGACCGAGGGCUAAGUCAUUCGACUCAUUCACGUCCAGAUCAUGAAUGUUUGAAUCCAUAUUAUGUAAGGAGACAUUGCUUUUGCUAAUUCGAAUUGAAGAGUGAUAUAAAAUCAGUCUAUUUCCGGCAUCAUAUCCAUAAUUAGCCCAUUCAUCCUAGUUAGCAGUUCCAGCUCCGUAUCAAGGUCACGAUCGAUAUUGUCACUAGCAUCAAGAUUGUUACUAUCAUCAAUAUCGUCAUCAUCAAUAUCGAUCUCAUUAAGAAGAAAACUUUUAGGCUUGUUUUCCUUUUCUUAAAAUAGAAAAAAAUACAUCCACUUCUUUCUUACCGAGAAUUUCCGAAAAAUACUAAUUUAUUUUUACGACGGGUUCUAUAUUUAUAUAUUUUAUAUAUAAUUGUAUAUAAGUAUUUUCUAUAUAAUCUAUAAGAGAAGUCUUUUCCUUUUAUUUUACUAUUCUAUGUUAAAUGAGACAAAAAAGAUGAAAUGAGCAGAAAAUUUGUAUAUAUCAAUGGAGGAAAUAACCAUGUGGAAAACAAGACAGGAAUUCCCUACAAUUACAAUGUGGAACAAUUGAAGGGAUGUGACGUAGCUUGAUGUUCUCUUAUUUGCCGAUGCAGUUUCUAAAUCCGCCCAAUUCCCCCUUCGUGUAUGGUUACCUGAUGCCAUAGAGAGGCCUACUCCCAUUUCGGCUCUUAUACAUGCUGCUACUAUGGUAGCGGCGAAAUUUUUUCUUGUAGCUCGGCUUGUUCCUCUUUUCAGAAUUAUACCUUACAUAAUAUAUUUGAUCUCGUUUAUAGGAGUAAUAACAGUAUUAUUAGGAGCUACUUUAGCUCUUGCUCAAAAAGACAUUAAGAGAGGUUUAACCUAUUCCACAAUGUCUCAAUUGGGUUAUAUUAUGUUAGCUCUUGGUAUGGGGUCUUAUAGAAGCGCUUUAUUUCAUUUGAUUACUCAUUCUUAUUCCAAAGCAUUAUUGUUUUUAAGAUCUGGAUCCAUUAUUCAUUCAGUGGAAAUUAUUGUUGGAUAUUCUCCGGCUAAAAGCCAGAAUAUGGGUCUUAUGGGAGAUUUAAGAAAACAUGUAUCAAUUACCAAAAUUAUAUUUUUAUUAGGUACACUUUCUCUUUGUGGUAUUCCACCUCUUGUUUGUUUUUGGUCCAAAGAUGAAAUUCUUAAUGAUAGUUGGUUGUAUUCGCCAAUUUUCGCAAUAGUAGCUUGGGCCACGGCGGGAUUAACUGCAUUUAUAUGUUUCAGAUCUAUUUACUUACUUUUGAAGGGCAUUUAAAUGCUCAUUUUCAAAAUAAUGGUGGGAAACAAAAAAACCCCUUCUAUUCAAUAUCUCUAUGUGGCAAAAGUGGAGUUAAGAAAAACUCUUAUUUAUUAACUAUGAAUAAUAAUGAAAGUACUUAUUUUUUUGCAAAAACUAAAUAUCCAAUUGAUAAAAAUGGAAGAAACAUGAUACAAACUUUUAUGACUAUUGCUCGUUUUGAGCAUAAAGCGGUUUAUUCCUAUCCUUAUGAAUCGGACAUUACUAUGCUAUUCCCAAUAUUUAUAUUAGAACUCUUUACUUUGUUUGUUGGAUCUCUAGGAAUUCCUUUCAACCAAGAGGGAGGGAAUUUGGAUAUAUUAUCGAAAUGGUUAGCUCCAUCUAUAGAUCUUUUGCAUCAAAAGUCGAAUAAUUCGAUGGAUUGGAAUGAAUUUUUAAAGGAUGCAGUUCUUUCAGUCAGUAUAGCUUAUUUCGGAAUAUUUAUAGCAUCCUUUUUAUAUAAACCUAUUUAUUCUUCUUUAAAAAAUUUUGAGUUAAUUAAUGCUUUUGUUAAAAAGGGUCCUGAGAGAAUUCUAUGGAACAAAAUUAUAAAUGGCAUAUAUGAUUGGUCAUAUAAUCGUGCUUACAUAGAUGCUUUUUAUACAAGAUUCUUAGUUGGUGGGAUUAGAGGAUUAGCUGAAUUUACUCAUUUUUUUGAUCGACGAGUAAUUUAUGGGAUGACUAACGGGGAAGGGGUAAAUUAGUUUCAUUGUAGGAGAAGGUAUCAAAUAUAUAGGGGCGAACACAUCUCUUCUUAUCUUUUCUUGUAUUUAGCUUAUGUUUCAGUCUUUUUAUUAGUUUAUUACUUACUCUUUUCAACUUUGUGAAUCAAAUUCCUUAUUUUUUUUAAUUCACAAUUACAAUUAUAGCAUGUCUCUGUAAGGUGAGAGUGGAAUUUAUCCUUUAUUUUAUCCUUUUCAUUCACUCGGAUUUCUUCCGUUUCAUCGAUUUUGUCCGGAUCCCACCUUUCUUCCGAAAAAAGGGAAGGGGAAGGAUAAGGAUCUUCUUCAGUGGAUCCCUCUUGUUCCUGCUUAGUCCCUUUAAUUUUGGAUGUUGUUUCUAUUUCUACAUCUCUUUCUACUUCAAUUUCUACCCUUUCUUCUAUUUUUGAGGCUUCUUUUAGUUUCUUAGUAAGAAUGGGUGAGGGUAUUCUUCCAAAAUAGUAGACAUAGAUAAUAAAUAAGAGAAUACUAAAGAUCCGAGCCAUAGAAUUUCUCAAUUCUAACACAAGGUACUUAUUAGAUAGAAUGUACUUAUUCGAUCUAAUAGAAUGAUUUUGCCGUAUCCUGACUAAUACCAAUCCAAGCCAUUUUAUGAAUAAAAUGUGACCAAUUAACCAACCAACAAAAUUCCUUGUUACAAAUAAGAUCUUUAUGUUGCAUCGAAAGAGAUAAAUGUUGACUAAUCUGGCUAACAUUGAACUUGGUAAAAUGAAAUAAUUGAAUAAUUGAAAAAUGAGAUUAUUCAGGAAUACACAUUGAAUGCUGAGAUUACGCAUUGAAUUUUUGGUAGUAGAUCCAUAACCAAAAAAGUGUUUGGGAUUGUUCCAGAAGAAAUGAAACAAAAGAUAUGGUAGAGCUAGGACAGUUAUUGUAUGAGGUCUACUCAAUGCUAGAUGCAGAGGCGCAUAAUAGAUCGAUAUGAACAUCAUGAGUUGUCCCGUAAUAAAACCGAUUGUUGCUGAUACCUUCUUCUUGGUUCCUUCUUCCAUAACCAGAGCUCGGAGAAGGAAGAGAUGGCCCUAUGGAGAAUGUGGUCAGAAAUCCAUAAUAGAGUCCAACCACAACUACCAAAUUGAUUAUCUUCAUGCAUAAGGAUACUAGAUUACCUAGUAGAAAAGAUUGAAAAAUCAUCACAAACCUCCCUUAUUUCUUUUCUAUUGCAAUUUUUGGAUUAUUAUAUGAUGAUUUUUGAACUUUCCAUAUAUAGAAAAGAAAUAGAAAGAGAUAGACUAGAAACGAUAUAUGUUAUGUCAAUGACACCAAAAGGAUAUUAAAUGAAUGAAAUUGGUAUAUGGAUGCAAUAUAAUGAAAUAGAGCCACUUUGAGAUUCCCUCUGAAAUGAUGCAUGUAAGGGAGCCACUACGAAGAAGUUCUGGGAGUUACAAAGGAAGCUUCGAGUUCAUAUUGGUCAUGGGUUGGGAUGCGAAUUGAACUCUAUGAGAUCGAAUCUCCUGUUGUUCCUCAGUAGCUCAGUGGUAGAGCAGUUGGCUGUUAACCGAAGAGUAUUUGACUUUCAUUAUUUUUAUUUCAUUUUUUUUAAAUUGGAGUAGUGUGACUAUGUUACUAUUUAUAGAUUUCAAUGCCAUAAGACGUAUCAAUAGUUUUCUAUUCUAAAUAGAAAGAAAGUCAAAUUUGUUUAAAUACUAAACAUAAGGAAGCAGAGGAUAGAUGCGAGGAACAAAAAAUUCUAUGAGGAAUUAUUUGUCUUCCUAGUCUUUGACACAAGAAAGGGUGUAGAAAAAUCCUUUUUUCUUGUGUCGAAAUGAAAGAGUAAUGAUUCUUGAUCAUGUUUGUUAAAAAUUCCUAGUCUUGGUUUCGAUUUUUCCAGAUGAUUCAGAAACCCUUUACCUUACCCCCACCCCGCCUUAUGUAGUUGGAAUUGGAUCAAUACUUCCAAUUGGAUAAGUAUGAAUAAAGGAUCCAUGGAUGAAGAUAGAAAAUUGACUUCUAAUCGUAACUAAAUCUUCAAUUUCUUAUUUGUAAAGAAGAAAUUGAAGCAAAAUAGCUGUUAAACGAUAAGUUUGGUUUACUAGAGACAUCAACAUAUUGUUUUAGCUUGGUGAAAACAAAAUCCUUUUCCUCAUGAUCCUAUUAAAUAGAAAUAGAGAACGAAAUAACUAGAAAGGUUGUUAGAAUCCCCUUCUUCUAGAAGGAUCAUCUACAAAGCUAUUCGUUUUAUCUGUUUUCAGACCAAAAGUUGACAUAGAUGUUAUGGGUAGAGUUUUUUUUUUCGAAUUUUGUUCACAUCUUAGAUCUAUAAAUUGACUCAUCUUCAUAAAGGAUCCGAAUGAAACCAAAGUUUCAUGUUCAGUUUUGAAUUAGAGACGUUAAAAAUAAUGAAUCGACGUCGACUAUAACCCCUAACCUUCCAAAGUAAUGAUGCGGGUUUGAUUCCCGCUACCCGCUCUAUAUCUGUUUAUUCUAAAUAUUUUAAUGUAUUCAUUAAAUCAAAUUUAGUUUAUUAGUAUUAGUACAUCAUUGAAUAUAUAGUUCCGAAAAUUCUUUCACAUCCGAUUCUUUCUGGGUUUUUUUCAAACAAAAAGUUAAAAUACGAAAAAAAAAAUCAGAAUGAAAAGCAUCCAUUGUCUAAUGGAUAGGAUAGAGGUGGUCCCCCCCGGACCAUCCAAAUCCCACAAGUGAAUCGAAAGUUGAAUCUACAUUCGAUCUCACCCGAAUCGCCCCAUCUAUCCUCCUGAGGAGGAGUUUGGUUUCAAACCCCUGUUCAAACAAGAGGAGUACGCCAUGCUAAUAUGCCUUGGAUGAUCCACAUCUCAGGGUCAGGCUCCAAUGAGCACAUUGAACUAUCCAUGUGGCUGAGAGCCCUCACAGCCCAGGCACAACGACACAAUUAUCAGGGGCGCGCUCUACCACUGAGCUAAUAGCCCAUCGUGCGAGCCUCCCACUGGGGGACCGCUAUGCCAAAAGCAAAAGAAACCCCAUCCCUCUCUUUCCUUUUUUCUCCCCCAUGUCGCCACAUAGGGGGAAUAUAGAGACGUAAAAGGGGGUCCUAUUAACUUGUUCCGACCUAGGAUAAUAAGCUCAUGAGUUUGGUCUUACUUCACCGUCGAGAAAUGAAAGAAGACUUCCAUCUCCAAGUUUAACUCAAACGUAGCUCCCUUCUUUUUUUGGGGGGAUGUGAAGCAGUGUCAAACCAAAAUACCCAACAAGCAUUAGCUCUCCCUGAAAAGGAGGUGAUCCAGCCGCACCUUCCAGUACGACUACCUGGUUGGUCCGGGUGGAGAGAAAAAAAAACGAAUAGAACUUAAAAUCUUUUCUAGAGAUAUCCAUUUUCUUGGAGAGAUAGAUAAGAUAUCCCGACAUACCGGCAUUUUGAUACCACUAGGAACAGGAAAAAGAAAUUCCAAGGAAUCCAAAAAAGUGAAAAAUUGGAUCUAUGUCCAACGGAUUACACCUAGCAAGAAAAAGUUUUUUGUUUUAGUUCGACCUGUCGUCACAUAUGAAAUAACAAACGGUAUAAAUUUAGCAACUCUUUUUCCACCAGAUGCAUUGCAGGAAAGGGAUAACGUGCAGCUUCGAAUUGUCAAUUAUAUCCUUUAUGGAUAAAUCAGAAAUACAGAAACAAAAACAACAAUUGGACUAGAGAAUGCGAUUGCAUUAUAAGGUCUCAAUUGAACAGAUUGAGCAAGCUCGAAUUGACGUAACAUGAAACCUAUUAGGCCAAAAGCUCCAUGGAGAGCAACAAAAGUCCACAAGGGAUUCCCAGCAUCUCGUAGAAAAAGAGUGUAAUGUAGAUUUUGAAGAAGAGUAUUUGACUUUCAUUAUUUUUAUUUCGUUUUUUUUAAAUUGGAGUAGUGUGACUAUGUUACUAUUGACAGAUUUUAAUGCCAAAAGACGUAUCAAUAGUUUUCUAUUCUAAAUAGAAAGAAAGUCAAAUUUAUCUAAAUACUAGACAUAAGGAAGCAGGGGAUAAAUGCGGGGAACAAAAAAUUCUAGGAGGGAUUAUUUGUCUUCCUAGUCUUCGACACAAGAAAGGGGUGUAGAAAAGUCCUUUUUCUUGUGUCGAAACGAAAGAGUAAUGAUUCUUGAUCUUGUUUGAUAUUUCCCUUUAACUAUUCAUGUCAACUAUUCUUGAGCAAUGGUGACUCAUUAUUUCGAUGAAUCAUUUCUUCGGACAAAAUAAGAUUAUGUAAACACUUACUCGAGAUCUCACUUAUCAGAUUCCAUUUUGGAAGACACAAUUUUUUCUGAAGAAUUCGCCAUGAUAUACCUGAUCCUUGCAUAAUAUCAUGAAAAAUAGAUACAAAUUUUUGACUGCUACUUAGUAUUGGCAAUAGUUCUAAAAAAGUAUCUAAAAAUAUCAAAUUUAGAUAUUUGUACCCUGUCGAAGUAAGGAACCAUGGCAUAUAUGUUUGGAAUAGAUUCCAUUUUGAGAGAGUUGAAAAAGCACUAUCUCAUUGAAAGGUUCUAUACAUCUGCCCUUUCUCAACGCAUUUCUUUAGACAAAGACUGCAUUUUUUCCUCUUUUUGGAUGAUAAAUCUUUCUCAAAACAUGGAGUGUGAAUCAAACCCAUGUUUGAAUUGAAAUUGAGAUACUGAUGCAAGUUCUUCCCUUCUGAAUCAGAUAGAUUCAUAUCUGAAAAAAGUUGACAAUAAGUUCUUUCAAAAUUGACUAUUUGUCCCUCUGUUAAAGGUGUUCCAGAAAUGUUUGCGAUCGAGUAAAUAGCUCUAUGAACGAAUGGAUCGGAUUGACUUGGAAAAUGAAAAGAUUUGUACAAGAUAUACGUUUCGUCACCACUUUGUGGAAAAUUGUUAGGUAUGAAUAUGUUAGAUACCUGUGACUCGAGUGGUGAAAUAGUAUCUCUCCCCCAAAAAGCAUGUUUUUUUUACCGAGCACAAAGAAAAUAUUUUGUUAUGAAUGAACAAGAUAUUGAGGAAUUGUCCAUACGUAAAAUCAGAAUUAUUGAUAUGGGCCUUUUCCACAGAAAAGAGGAAUCAUGUGUUCCAAUAGAAGCAGAAGUGAUGUGGAUUAUUCAAGAAUCAAAGUCGAUUUGCUUUAUAAAAAGAAGAUAUCAAUGAAAUUCUAUGAAAUGGUUUCACAGGAUUCAGCCAAUUGUCUUGAUCGUGGAAUAUCAUUAAGAAAUAGGAAUCCGGGUUAUCAAAGGAUUUCCUGCGAUUAUUUCUAGUAUAAUGAGUCAAUCAUCCACUUUGGUAUCUUAUUGAACAAAAAUGAUGAUAUUGUUCCUCCAUUGAUCAAGAAUUUUGAUUUUUGGGAAGUAUCAUGAUCGUCCAAUAAGAAGGGUUUCAAUUUUUUUCAAAUGAACAAUUUGAAGACCUAUUGAUUCUAACAACUGAUUGCAGAGUUGAUCAUUCGGACCUUUCAAUUCAUAGAUGUAGAUCUCGGACCUGUGAACUACUUCAACAAGUCUGCGAGUGAGAUAUCCAGCGUCUGAUGUUUGUACAGCAGUAUUCACAACUCAUUUAUGGGCUCUGUAGCAAGAAAUGAUGUAUUCUGUUAAAAAGAGUCCUUCGCGUAAAUUGCUUUGAAUAGUCAAAAUCAAUCAUUUUCCCUUGAGGAUCUGACAUUAAUCCUCUCAUACCUACUAAUUGAUGUACCUGAGAUGCAUUUCCUCCAGCUCAUGAGAAAGACAUUAUAUGAACUGGAUUAAAAGGGUCAGUCAUCCUAAAAUUAGGAUUCAUUUCUUGUCGCAAUUAGUCACUUGUAGCAUACCAUAUUUCAAUGGAUUGGCGUAAUUUUUCUACUGCGUGUACAUUCCCAAAUGAUGGUGUUUUUCCAAAAUCAAACUUUGUUGUUCAACAUCUUGAACUAGCCAUCACUUAGAAAGUAUUGUUAAAAGAUCAUCAAUUCCUAAUGAAAUGGAUGUAGCAGUAGCUUGUUGGAACCCCAGAGUUUUUACUUGAUCCAGGAUAUGUGAUAUAUAUGUCAUUCCGAAGUGAUCUAUUAAUCUACUAAUAAGUCAUUUCAUGGAAGUUCCGUCUAUCUCUUUAUUGUGAAAGACCAGAUUGACCCGUUCCACCAUAAGUACCUCCAUAUUCCGCUAAGUAGAAUUCGACAAUGGGUUUGAGUCAGUGAUUGUAAAACUUCCUUUUAUCGAUCUUGAUUCGCGUAUAAUCAGAUUUUCUUCGAAUAUGUUCUCAACUUAUUCGAGAUGUGAGUAAAACUCAAAUUGGCGAAGAAUAUGGGCCAUGGGUUCCUUUUAUUGGCACUAUGUUUUUAUUUAUUUUUGUUUCUAAUUGGUUAGAAGCUCCUUUACCUUGGAAAAUCAUACAAUUACCUCAUAGGGAGUUAGCCGCACCCACGAAUGAUAUAAGUACUACUGUUGCUUUGGCUUUACUCACAUGAGUGGCAUAUUUCUAUGCGAGUCUUACAAAAAAGGAUUAGGUUAUUUCGGAAAAAAUAUUCAACCAACCCCAAUCCUUUUACCCAUUAACAUCUUAGAAGAUUUCACAAAAUCUUUAUCACUUAGUUUUCGACUUUUCGGGAAUAUCUUAGCUGAUGAAUUAGUAGUUGUUGUUCUUGUUUCUUUAGUACCUUUAGUAGUUCCUAUACCUAUCAUGCUCCUUGGAUUAUUUACAAGUGGUAUUCAAGCUCUUAUUUUUGCAAUUUUAGCCGCAACUUAUAUAGGUGAAUCCAUGGAGGGCCAUCAUUGAAAUAGUCUUAUUUAGCUUAGCCCAAAGCAAUGUAUAAAUAUGGUGGGUGGCUCAAGAGAAUUACUUAACUUAGGGAAUAAAAUAGGGGAAUCUAAAUAUACAACUAUUUUAUAUACGAUCUAGAAUGAUAGCAAAAAAAUUAUGAUGAUAUUAAAGAGUAANNNNNNNNNNNNNNNNNNNNNNNNNUAAUUUUUGUCAAUAAUUAUAAUUCUUGUUGUAUAGGUUUACGACGUGUAAUUAAAUUAAAUUAAAUAAAAAAGGGUGAAACGAUUUCCUUUUCAGUUGAUUUUAUUCCACGAUUGACCAAAAUAUUAAUAAUUAAUAAAUAAAUUAUUUAUUUUUAUUAAUAAAUUGCAUGGACUUAGAUCAAUCAAAUAAUGAUAUUUCUAUACAUAUGGAAUUAUGCGGCCUAAUCAAUUUGUCCAUUUAGAUUUAUCUAGGUGGAAUAACAAGAAAAGGUAAGGUUCAAAAGAAUUUACAAAAAAAGGACUUUUUGAGUAUUUUAGAAAGGGUCGGUUAGGAGAGGGAGGUAUAUGUAAUUGAAUAACUAUAAGCCGACCCUUCUAGAUGUUUCGACACUUGAUUCUCGAAUAGGAAUGAAUCUAAGAUGAAUGCUUGGUUUACGUUAUGGAAGAAAGACAUGUAUAUGUGAUAUUAGAUAUUGACUAGUGCUAGUUAUAUAUGAAAUGAACAAAAGAUAUAUUUUACUACUCUAGGGGAUUCUAAUAUACUAGAAGUCCUUCCGGCCCCUUGUGACUGUGAAUUGAAUGAAUAAACGGAUGAAAUCAAGAAAUAAUUCAACUAACAGUUUGAACCAAGAAAUGGAAGAACGAAAGUCGUAUGGGUUAAGAAAGACUCUAUGGCUAAAAAGUAAAAAAUAUAUAUCGAAGUAGUUCUGAUGAUUCAAUAAUCUUAUUACUUCAAUCCGAAGUUCUUAGUUACUUCGACUGGAUGAGUCCUAGCGAAGGAAUAAUUAAGUCAUAACUCAUUGGUUGAUUGUAUCAUUAACCAUUUCUUUUUUUUUUUGGUACGAGGAACUUAUCAUGAAUCCACUGAUUUUUGCCGCUUCCAUUAUUGCUGUUGGAUUGGCCAUAGGGCUUGCUUCUAUUAGACCCGGAGUUGGUCAAGGAACUGCUGCGGGUCAAGAUAUAGAGGGUAUCGCGAGACAGCCUGAGGCAGAGGGAAAAAUUUGUGGUACGCUAUUGCUUAGUCUAGCUUUUAUGGAAGCAUUAACAAUUUAUGGACUGGUUGUAGCAUUAGCACUUUUAUUUGCGAAUCCUUUUGUUUAAUCUUAGCUUAGAAAUUUGAAAAAUAAAUACAUUUUUCAUAUUUUAUUGCCUUCGACUUAUUGUUUGCUUUUUAAAAUUCUAUCAAGAUUUCCCUCCUCCAAUUCUUUAUUCUUUGAGAAAAGAACCUACGGGAAGGGCUGAUUAGCGGAUGAGGAAUUAGCAUACUGACACACUUUCAUCCUUCCCGUUCAUAGACCAAGGUAAUGUCACGACCCGGUUUUCCCACCCUUGGGAGUCAUGAUGGCGCCUACUCGUAGAAGCUAGGCAAACCACUAAACAUAGAAAAUUUCUAACUCUUUCAUUUUUAAUCUUUUUUAACAAUAUGAAUUAACAGGUAUCCAACAUUUAGAUAUUAACGAUAAAUGAAAUCAAGCAGAAGACUUAAUCUAAUAUAAUAACCAAGACCAGUACGAUAAUGACAACACACAUCUCUCCCCGGAAUCUGGUGUCACAAUAUCAUGGACGGACUAAGAUUACUACAACAAAUGUCUGAAACAAAUACAAUUUGUCUCGAAAUCUAAUGAAAACAGAGUACAUAAUAAAGUAGAAGAGAGCGCCGGGCCUGCGGACGCUUGCAGGACUACCUCGGGAUCUCUGGAUGGACUGAAAGCAGGCUCCCCAAGUGCUACUGUCCAAAAGCUACUUCGAAAUCUGCAGAUAGUGCAGAGUGUAGCAUCAGCACAACCGACCCUGUGUGCUGGUAAGUGCCUGGCCUAACCCCGGCAAGGUAGUGACGAGGCUAGGAACAAACUCCAGAUAAACUUGUGCAGUUAUAUAAUAUAUAGCGGAAAAUAAAAAGGAAUAAACAAUUAACAUGGGAGGGGUACAUGCUACGAGGGAAAUAUCAAAUCCUGCAGAAACUUAAGAGAAAUAUGAGAGAACAAUUCAAGAUUUACAACAAAGCCAUAAUAACACUGUUGCGGCGCGCAACCCGAUCCCUAUCAUUUAACACUGUUGCGGUGUGCAACCCGAUCCAUUUAUAUCACUAUUGCGGCGUGCAAUCCGACCCAAUAUAACAUUGUUGCAGCGUGCAACCCGAUCCAACAUAACAUUGUUGCGGCGUGCAACCUGUUCCAUAUAUAGUAUUGUUGCGGCAUGCAACCCGAUCCAACAUAACAUUGUUGCGGCAUGCAACCCGAUCCAUAUAUAGUAUUGUUGCGGCGUGCAACCCGUUCUACAUAUAGUAUUAUUGCGGCUUGCAACCCUAUCCAACAUAACAUUUAUAUACCUUUAGCAACAACCAUACCAAGAGUCCCGGCAAGGGAACAACAAUAAGCUACACUAUCCCGACAAGGGAUUCAACAGUAAAAGUAAAUACGUCCCGACAAGGGAGAAACAACUAUAACCAAUCUUAACCCAACUUCUACUCAUAUCAGCUAACACCAAUACUCAAUCAUAAGUGAUUUCCACGAAAACAAACUUAAUCCUUGCUCAAUAUCAAGAAUCAUCAUUUAAAACAUCUGUAGUACUAUUUAAGAACACAAAAUAAAUUGCAAUUUAAGACUCACGGUCAUGCUCGACACCAACGUAUAGAUACUCGUCACCAUGCGUAUAAGUCGUACUCAACAAGAAGCAAAUAGCAAAUAGGACACAACUCCUAAUCCCUCAAGCUAAGGUUAGACCGAAAACUUACCUCGAACUUCCACGGAUAACUCAAGCCUCAAACACCGCCUUUCCUUUUGAAUUUGACUCUAAAUCAAUUGUAUCUAGACAUAAUCGACUUACUAACAUCAAUAAACGCUAAUCAAUCCAAUUCUAAUGCUUAAUUAUAGCUUUCCCAUCAUUCUUCCCAAAAAGUCAAAAAUUGACCCCGGGCCCGCUUGUUCAAAACACGAGGUUCAGACAAAAAUCAGAUCACCAUUCACCCACGAGCCCGAAUAUAUUUUUUUUUUGAAAUCCAACCCCGAAACGAGGUCAAAUUCCCAAAUAAUCAAAAAGCCCUAACUCUACCCAAAUCCCUAUCUACCCUUAAUCUCAUGUUUUAAGCCUAGAAAUCUAGUGGGCGUUGAUAAAAAUGGAAGAAAACGAGCUUAGGAUUACAUACCUGUGAAGCUAUGGUGAAGUUCCUCUUCAAAAAUCUCCCAAGAGGUGUGGAGAAGAUGAAGUUUAUGAAAAAUGGUGAAAAUCUCGUAAUGCAUUCUGUUUUUGGAACUUAAAAUAACUGGGCGAAUUUGGUCUUCGCGUUCGCGAUGAGCUAGGCCUGAGAGACCUUCGCAUUUGCAUAAACGAGCUCACGUUCGCGGAGCAUUAACUCCUUGAGCCAUCGCGUUCGCGGCCAGGAGUUCGCUUCGCAUAGGGUAUAAUAUCCCUCCCCCUACCCAGGCUCAUAAGCCUUCGCGUUCGCGUUACCAGGCCCGCGUUCGCAAAGGGAAGACCCCCCAGAGUUCGCAUUCGCAACCUGGGUCACGCAUUCGCGUAGAAGGAAAUUUCUUUCAGCAUGAAUAUCUCAUUGCGUUCGCAAGGGUCCUCCCGCGAACGCGAAGAAGAAAAUACCAGCACACCAGAACUGAAAAAAACCUGCAAAGUUUAUGAGUUCAAAAACCUUCCGAAACUCACCCGAGCCCUCGGGGCUCCAAACCAAACAUACGUACUAACUCAAAAACAUCAUAUGAACUUAUCCGUGCGAUCAAAUCGCCAAAAUAACCCCUUAAACAACGAAUUAAACCUCAAAAUCGAUAAAAUAUUUCAAAUCUUCUUAAAACAUCAAAUUUUGCAUUUAAGGUCCGAUUAACGUCAAAUGACAUCCGUUUCUUACCAAACUUCACAGAAUUAUAUUAAAUCACAUAUAAGACUUGUAUCAGGCGUCAGAACCAAAAAUACAGGCCCGAUACCAACAUGUUCUAAUCAAAAUUCAUUUCCAAAUCCUUUAAACAAUUUGGAAAACAAUUUUCUUUUAAAAAUUUAUUUCUCGGGCUUGGGACCUCGGAAUUCGAUUCCGGGCAUACGCCCAAGUCCCGUAUUUUCCUACGGACCCUCCGAGACCGUCAAAACAUGGGUUUGGGUCCAUUUACCCAAAAAAUUGACCGAAGUCAAAUUAAUUCAUUCUAUAGUCAAAAUUUAUCAUUUUUCACAGAUUUUCACAUAUAAGCUUUCCGGCUACGCGCUCGACUACGCACACAAAUCGAGGUAAUGCUAAAAAAGGUUUUUAAAGCCUCAGAAUGCGGAAUUUUAUUCACAUUCUCCACCUCUAAAACAAUUGUUUGUCCUCGAACGGACAGAAGAAGGAAGUACCUGAGUCCGGGAAAAGAUGGGGAUAACGGCUCCACAUAUCGGGCUCGGACUCCCAGGUCGAUGCCUCAGGAGGCUGACCUCUCCACUGAACACGAACAUAAGGAAAACUCUUCGAUCUCAAUUGAUGAACCUGUCGGUCUAGGAUAGCUACCGGCUCCUCCUCAUAAGACAAGUCCUUGUCCAACUGGACAGUGCUGAAAUCUAACACGUGGGAUGGAUCGCCGUGAUACUUCUAAAGCAUGGAUACAUGAAACACUGGAUACACGAUUGCCAAGCUCGGCGGCAAUGCAAGUCUUAUAAGCCACCUCUCCAACUCAAUCAAGAAUCUCAAACGGGCCAAUGAACCUAGGGCUAAGCUUGCCCUUCUUCCCAAAUCUCAUCACACCCUUCAUAGGCGACACUCGAAGCAAUACUCGCUCACCGACCAUGAAUGCCAAAUCACAAACCUUGCGGUCGGUAUAACUCUUUUGCCUGGACUGAGCUGUACGAAGCAUAUCCUGAAUAAUCCUGACCUUGUCCAAGGCAUCCUGAACUAGAUCCGUACCCAACAACCGAGCCUCUCCCGGCUCAAACCAUCCAACCGGAGACCGACACCACCUACCAUAUAAAGCCUCAUAAGGAGCCAUCUGAAUACUCGAUUGGUAGUUGUUGUUGUAGGCAAACUCUACUAAAGGCAAAAACUGAUCCCACGAGCCUCCAAAGUCAAUGACACAAGCUCGGAGCAUAUCCUCCAAAAUCUAAAUGGUCCGCUCGGACUGCCCGUCUAUCUGAGGAUGAAACACUGUGCUCAACUCAACCCGCGUNNNNNNNNNNNNNNNNNNNNNNNNNGGAAUGAAAUGCGCUAACUUGGUCAGCCUAUCAAUAAUGACCCAUACUGUGUCGAACUUCCUCCGAGUCUGCGGGAGUCCAACAACGAAAUCCAUAGUGAUUCGCUCCCACUUCCACUCGGGAAUCUCAAUCCUCUGAAGUGAACCACCGGGCCUUUGAUGCUCGUACUUAACCUGCUGACAAUUCAAACACCGAGCCACAUAUGUAAGGAUAUCCUUCUUCAUUCUCCGUCACCAAUAAUGCUGCCGCAAAUCCUGAUACAUCUUCGCGGCGCCUGGAUGAAUAGAGUACCGGGAGCUAUGGGCCUCCUCUAAAAUCAACUCUCCGAGUCCAUCCACAUUAGGCAUACAAACUCGACCCUGUAAUCUCAAAAUUCCAUCAUCACCUAAGGUAACUUGCUUGGCACCUCCGUGCUGCAUCGUGUCUCUAAGGACACACAAAUGGGGAUCAUCUUACUGCCGAUCACGAAUACGCUCCAAUAUUGAAGAACGAGCGACUGUGCAAGCUAACACACGGCUGGGCUUAGAAACAUCCAACCUCACAAACUGAUUGGCCAAAGUCUGAAUGUCCAAAGCAAGUGGUCUCUCACUGACCGGAAUAUAAGCAAGACUGCCCAUACUGGCUAACUUCCUACUCAAAGAAUCGGCCACCAUAUUGGCCUUUCCCGGAUGAGAUAAGAUGAUGAUAUUAUAGUCUUUCAACAACUCCAACUACCUCCUCUGCCUCAAAUUCAACUCCUUUUUCUUGAACAAAUACUGAAGACUCUUUUGAUCCGUGAACACCUCACAUGCCACGCCAUACAGAUAAUGCCUCAAAAUCUUCAAUGCGUGAACAAUGGCUGCCAACUCCAAAUCAUGAACCGGGUAGUUCUUCUCAUGAAUCUUCAACUGUCGUGAAGCAUAGGCAAUGACCUUGCCAUCAUGCAUCAACACUGCACCAAGUCCAAUACGAGAUGAAUCACAAUAAACUGUAUAAGGCCCUGAACCUAUGGGCAAAACCAAUACCAGUACCGUAGUCAGAGCUGUCUUGAGUUUCUGAAAGCUCGCCUCAUACUCGUCUAACCAUCUGAACUGGGCACCAUUCUGGGUCAACCUGGUCAUCGGGGUUGCGAUAGAUGAAAACCCCUCCACGAACCAAUGAUAGUAGCCUACCAAUCCCAAGAAACUCCGAAUUUCUGUAGUUGAUGCUGGUCUAGGCCAGUCCUUGACUGCCUCAGUUUUCUUCGAAUCGACUUGAAUACCCUCUACUGAUACAACAUGACCCAGGAAUGCAGCUAAACUCAACCAAAACUCACACUUCGAGAACUUAGCAUAUAACUGACUAUCCCUCAAGGUCUGAAGAACCACUCUAAGAUGUUGCACGUGCUCCUCCCGGCUGCGGGAAUAGAUCAAAAUAUCAUCAAUGAAGACUAUCACGAACAAAUUCAAAUAAGGACAGAACACUCGGUUCAUCAAAUCCAUAAAAGUUGCUGGGACAUUCGUCAAACCGAAUGACAUCACCAAGAACUCAUAAUGCCCGUACCGAGUGCGAAAGGCUAUCUUAGGGACAUCAGAUGCCCUAAUCCUCAACUGAUGGUAGCCAGAUCUCAAGUAAAUCUUUGAAAAUACCUUAGCACCCUGAAGCUGAUCAAACAAAUCAUCAAUCCUUGGCAAUGGAUACAUAUUCUUGAUCGUAACCUUGUUCAACUGCCGGUAAUCAAUACACAUUCUCAUCGAUCUCUCCUUCUUCUUAAAAAACAACACUGGCGCACCCCAAGGCUAAACACUCGGCCUAAUGAAACCCUUCUCAAGCAAGUCUUGCAAUUGCUCCUUCAACUCUUUCAACUCAGGCGGGGCCAUAUGAUACGGCAGGAUAAAAAUGGGCUGAGUGCCCGGAGCCAAAUCAAUGCAAAAGUCAAUAUCUCUAUCGGGUGGCAUACCCGGCAGGUCUGAAGGGAAAACCUCAGGAAACUCAAGAACAACAGGCACAGAAACAAUAGAAGGAACCUCAGCACUAGAAUCACGAACAUAUGCCGAAUAGGCCAAACACCCCUUCUCGACCAUAUGCCGAGCCUUCACAUAAGAAAUAACACUAUGGGUAAAAUGACCAGGAGUCCCUCUUCACUCUAAACGAGGUAAACCCGGUAAGGCUAAGGUCACAGUCUUGGCAUGACAAUCCAAGAUAGCAUGGUAAGGUGAUAGCUAGUCUAUCCCCAAUAUAACAUCGAAAUCAACCAUGUCCAGAAGCAACAAAUCUACGUGGGUCUCAAGACCUCCAAUCACAACUAUACAAGAGCGAUGGACUCGAUUUACCACAAUAGAAUCACCCACCAGUGUAGACACAUAUACGGGGGAACUCAAGGAAUCACUAGGCAUGACCAGAUACGGUGCAAAAUAAGAUGACACAUAGGAGUACGUAGACCCUGGAUCAAAUAAAACGGAAGCAUCUCUGCCACAAACCAGAACAGUACCUAUGAUUACUGCAUCGAAAGUCUCAACCUCAGGCCUGGCUGGAAGAGCAUAACAUUGGGGCUGGGCCCCACCACCUUGGACUACCUCUCUGGGACUGCCUGUAGCUGGCUGGCCCCACCUCUAGCGGUCCGAGCUCCACCUCUAGCACCUCUACCUCCACCUCUCGCACCUCUACCCCCACCUAUAGCUGGCUGGGCGGUUUGUGGAACACCUGGUGCCUGAACUAUAGCACGGGAACCCUGUUGCUGCGACUGAGUACCUACCAAUAUCGGACAAGCUCUCCUGAUAUGACCAUAAUCACCACACUCAAAACAUCCACCUGAGUGUUGCGGCUGAGGAAACUGAGACUGACCCUGGCGACCUGAAUGACCACCCCAAAAACUCUAGAGUGGCGGUGCACUGAUAGGAGCUGGUGGUGCACUGUAGGGCUGCUAAUCCAAAUACUGCAUGUGAGAACCACGGCCACUUGAAGCGCUGACUGAAAGGGCCUAGGAGGAUGGCCUCUACCAUACGAAUCCCUGCCUCUAGACGAGGCACCACUGAAUCUUCCUGAAUAAUGGGGCCUCUUGUCCGACCCAUGACCACCUCCCUGCGAUAGAACCAUCUCCACUCUCCUGGCCACAUUGACCGCCUCUUGGAAAGUAAUCUCACUCCCAGUCUCCCUAGCCAUCUGAAGACGAAUCGGCUAAAUAAGUCCAUCAAUGAACCUCCUCACCCUCUCUCUCUCUCGGUGGGAAGAAUGACAAGAGCAUGACGAGCCAAGUCGAUGAAUCUGGUCUCAUACUGGGUAACAGUAAUGGAACCCUACUGGAGACGCUCAAACUGCCUCCGAUAGGCCUUUCUCUGAGUGAUGGGGAGAAACUUCUCCAAAAAUAGUUGAGUAAACUGCUCCCAAGUCAAAGCUGGCGAUCUGGCUGGUCUAACCAAACAGAAAUCCCUCCACCAAAUCUUGGUGGAUCCAGAUAAGCGAAAAGUGGCAAAAUCAACCCCAUUGGUCUCAACUAUCCCCAUGUUCCUGAGAACCUCAUAACAGCUAUCUAGAUAAUCCUGGGGAUCCUUAGUAGAUCCACCGCUGAAAGUAGUAGUAAAGAACUUGGUGAACCUAUCCAACCUCCACAAGGCAUCGACAGACAUAGCUACUCCAUCACCGGUCUGAGCUACCACACCCAGCUGAACUGCUCCAACUGGCUGAUCUACUGGAGUCUGAAACUGGGGAGCUACCUGCUCCGGGGUGCGAGUAGCAGGAGUCUGGGCUCCUCCUCCAACCUGAGAGAUGGAUGGUGCUACAGGAAGCAAGCCUUCCCGAGUGACACUCUCCAUAAGGCCGACUAGACGGACCAGAGCAUCUUGAAGUACUGGGGUAGCAAUAAACCCCUCUAGGACCUGAGCUGGGCCCACCGGAAAUGCUGGGGCCGGAACCUCAUCACCAAAGUCAACCUGAGGCUCCGCUGCAGGUGCUGCUGCCCUGGGUUGAGCUCUACCCCUAUCUCGGCCUCUAGCACGGCCUCGCCCUCUGUCCCUUAUGGGAGCUGUUGCUGGGGGCUCGGGCUGCUGGUCAGUGGAUGAGGAAGCGCGUGUUCUCGCCAUCUGCGAAAGAACAGAGUAGAAUUUCAAUUAGCAUUGAGAAACCAAUCCGCAUGACAGGAAAGAAUAAAAGUGGAAUGUUUCCUAACUUUGUAGCCUCUGGGGAUAAAUACAUACGUCUCCGUAUCGAUCCCUCAAACUCUACUAAGCUUGUUUGUGAAUUGUGAGACCUAUGUAACCUAGAGCUUUGAUGCCAACUUGUCACGACCCGAAUUUCCCACCCUCGGGAGUCGUGAUGGCGCAUACUUGUAGAAGCUAGGCAAGCCACUAAACAUAGAAAAUUUCUAACUCUUUCAUUUUUAACCCUUUUUAACAAUCUGAAUUAACAGGUAUCCAACAUUUAGAUAUUAACGAUAAAUGAAAUCAAACGGAAGACUUAAUCUAAUAUAAUAACCAAGACCAGUACGAUAAUGACAACACACAUCUCUACUCGGAAUGUGGAGUCACAAAAUCACGGACGGACUAAGAUUACUACAACAAGUGUCUGAAAGAAAUACAAUCUGUCUCGAAAUCUAAUGAAAACAGAGUAAAUAAUAAAGUAGAAGAGAACGUUGGGCCUGUGGACGCCUACAGGAAUACCUCGGGAUCUCUGGCUGGACUAAGGCAGGCUUCUCAAGUGCUACUAUCCAAAAGUUGCUUCGGAAUCUGCACAUAGUGCAGAGUGUAGCAUCAGCACAACCAACUCCAUGUGCUAGUAAGUUCCUGUCCUAACCCCGGCGAGGUAGUGACGAGGCUAGGACCAGAUUCCAGAUAAACCUGUGUAGUUAUAAAAUAUACAUCGAAAAAUAAACAGGAAUAAACAAUUAACAUGGGAGGGGUACAUGCUACGGGGGAAAUAUCGAAUCCAGCAGAAACUUAAGAGAAAUAUGAGAGAACAAUUCAAGAUUUACAACAAAGCCAUAAUAAAACUGUUGCGGCGCGCAACGCGGUCCCUAUCAUUCAACACUGUUGCGGCGUGCAACCCGAUCCAUUUAUAUCACUGUUGCGGCAUGCAAUCCGAUCCAAUAUAACAUUGUUGCGGCGUGCAACCUGAUCCAAGAUAACAUUGUUGUGGCGUGCAACCCGUUCCAUAUAUAGUAUUGUUGUGGCGUGCAACCCAAUCCAACAUAACAUUGUUGCGGCAUGCAACCCAUUCCAUAUAUAGUAUUGUUGCGGCGUGCAACCCGAUCAAACAUAACAUUUAUAUACCUUUAGCAACAACCAUACCAAGAGUCCCGGCAAGGGAUCAACAAUAAGCUACACUAUCCCGGCAAGGGAUUCGACAAUAAAAGUAAAUACGUCCCGGCAAGGGAGAAACAACUAUAACCAAUCUUAACCCAACUUCUACUCAUCUCAGCUAACACCAAUACUCAAUCAUAAGUGAUUUCCACGAAAACAAACUUAAUCCUUGCUCAAUAUCGAGAAUCAUCAUUUAAAACAUCUGUAGUACUAUUUAAGAACACAAAAUAAAUUGCAAUUUAAGACUCACGGUCAUGCUCGACACCAACGUAUAGAUACUCGUCACCAUGCCUAUACAUCGUACUCAACAAGAAGCAAAUAGCAAAUAGGACACAACUCCUAAUCCCUCAAGCUAAGGUUAGACCGAACACUUACCUCGAACUUCCACGACCAACUCAAGCCUCAAACACCGCCUUUCUUUUUGAAUUUGAGUCCAAAUCAAUUGUAUCUAGACAUAAUCGACUUACUAACAUCAAUAAACGCUAAACAAUCCAAUUUCAAUGCUUAAUUAUAGCUUUCCCAUCAUUCUUCCCAAAAAAUAAAAAAUUGACCCCAAGCCCGCUUUGUCAAAACACGAGGUUCGGACCAAAAUCCGAUCACUCAUUCACCCACGAUCCCGAAUAUAUAUUUUGCUUUGAAAUCCGACCCCAAAAUGCUGCUUGACUCUUUAUAAAGUAUACAAGUGUUGAAAGAGUGAAGUCUGGGGACAACGGUAAACGUGAGGAAUGGCACCUCUCGAAACCAAUUCACUUGAGUGAGACAGAGGAGAGUGGAAUUUCGUGUGUAGGGGUGAAAUCCGGAGAUCUACGAAGGAAGGCCAAAAGCGAAGGCAGCUCUCUGGGUCAAAUUCCCAAAUUAUCAAAAAGCCCUAACUCUACCCAAAUCCCUAAGAGGUAUGGAGAAGAUGAAGUUCAUGAAAAAUGGUGGAAAUCCCAUAAUGCAUUCUAUUUUUGGAACUUAAAAUAACUGGGCGAAUUUGGUCUUCGCGUUCGCGAUGAGCUACGCCUGAGAGACCUUCGCGUUUGCGUAACCGGGCUCGCAUUCGCGGAGCAUUAACUCCUCGAGCCAUCGCGUUCGCGACUAGGAGGUCGCAUUCGCAUAGGGUAUAAUAUCCCUCCCCCUGCCCAGGCUCAUAAGCCUUCGCGUUCACGUUACCAAGCCCGCAUUCGCGAAGGGAAGACCCCCCAAAGCUUCGCGUUCGCGAGGGUCCUCCCACGAACGCGAAGAAGAAAAUACCAGCACACCAGAACUGAAAAAAACCUGCAACUUUUAUGAGUUCAAAAACCUUCCGAAACACAUCCGAAACUCACACGAGCCCUCGGGGCUCCAAACCAAACAUACGUACUAACUCAAAAACAUCAUAUGAAUUUAUUUGUGCGAUCAAAUCGCCAAAAUAGCCCCUUAAACAACGAAUUAAACCUCAAAAUUGAUGAAAUAUUUUAAAACUUCUUAAAACAUCAAAUUUUGCAUUUAAGGUCCGAAUCACGUCAAAUGACAUCCGUUUCUUACCAAACUUCACAGAAUUAUCUUAAAUCACAUUUAAGACCUGUAUCGGGCGCCGGAACCAAAAAUAUGGGCCCGAUACUAACAUGUUCUAAUCAAAAUUCAUUUCCAAAUCCUUUUAAACAAUUUACUUUAAAAAUUUUAUUUCUCGGGCUUGGGACCUCAGAAUUUAAUUUCGGGAAUACGCCUAAGUCCCAUAUUUUCCAACGGACCCUCCGGGACCGUCAAAUAUAUAAGCUUUCCGGCUAUUACGAAGUAAACGCAACCAAUUGUGUCUGGGACUGGCGAAAUGAGAUCAUUGACUAUCUCAAGCACGAAAAAUUACCUGAAGAUCCCAAGGCAUAUCGGGCACUGCGCUCUAAAGCAGCUCGAUACAGCUUCAAGGGAGGUCAACUCUAUAGAAGAUCCUUCUAAGGCCCGUUGGCCCGAUGUCUGGGAGCUUCCGAAGCCAACUAUGUCAUGCAGGAAGUCCAUGAAGGGAUCUGUAGAAAUCACUCGGGCGCGGAUUCCUUAGUGUUAAAAUUAAUUUGGGAAGGAUACUACUGGCCUCGGAUGGAACAAGACGCCAAGGCUUAUGUUCAGAAAUGUGAUAAAUGUCAACACCACGCACCAUUAGUACAUCAACCGGUAGAGCUAUUACAUUCAGUUUUAUCUCCAUGGUUGUUCAUGAAGUGGGGGAAGGAUAUUGUCGGUCUGUUGCCGCCAUCCCCCGGUAAGGUAAGAUUUCUUUUGAUUUUAACUGACUAAUUUUCUAAGUGGGUUGAAAUGGGUCCUUACCUGAAGAUCUGCGAAUGCGAAGUGGUAUAUUUCUUGUGGAAAAAUAUAAUUUGAAGACUUGGGAUAUCAAAAGAGAUAGCCUACGAUAAUUGGACACAAUUUAUAGGUGUAAAGGUAACUAAAUUCCUUGAAUAUUUGAAAAUAAAAAGGAUCACAUCGUCACCUUAUCACCUGAGUGCAGACGGUCAAGCAAAAUCAACAAACAAAGUGAUUAUCCAAAAUCUCAAAAAGAGAUUGGAAGCAGCCAAAGGUAAAUAGACCGGAAGAGCUACCAUGAGUGUUAUAGGCGUAUAAAACAAUGGCUAAAUCAAGAAGGGGGAAACUCCUUUCUCUCUUGUAUACGGAGCAGAAUCCUUGAUUCCAGUGGAAUUAGGGGAACCUACCUUGAGAUAUUUCCGGGCGAAUGAAGAAACAAAUAAUGAAGCAAUGUUGGUCGAAUUGGAACUGCUCGACGAACGUAGGGACUUGGCGCAUAUAAGGAUGGCAUCCCAAAAGUAGAGAAUGGAAAGAUAUUGCAAUCGAAGAGCCAACGUCCAUUAUUUCAAAGUAGGAGACUUGAUUUUAAGGAAAGUAACUCAGAACACCCGGGAGCUCAACGCAGCGAAGCUGGGUCCAACAUGGGAAGGCCCCUACCGAAUUUCAACUAUCACCAGAAAAGGGUUAUACGAAUUGGAAAAUUAAGAUGGAAAAAGUUGCCGAGAAACUAGAAUGUGGCACACCUCAAAAGGUACUAUUGUUGACGAACAUCACCUAUACUGAAAGUAUGUGCUGCACUCUUUUUCCCUUCAUCCAGUUUUUGUUCCAAUUGGGUUUUUCUGGCAAGGUUUUUAACAAGGCAACAACGGAAAGCAUACUACGAAGGAAGCUUCGUCAGCGGAUAUAAGACCUUAAAAUGACAAGGCACACAGAUAAUGAAUCACUAUGGAGCGGUUAGAUAAUCUUUUGCUUGGUAGCAAAGUUCCGACCGGAAAGUAAAAUUUUCUAUCGGGAAAAGAGUUACCUGACCGUUCACGAGUGCAGACCACUGUAGGGUUGUUAGAUAGUCUUUGGCUCGAUAACAAAGUUCCUAAGGGGAAGUGAAACUUACUAUCAAACUAAAGAUUAUCUAACCAUUAAAUAGUGGAAUCUUCAAAGAAGUAAGACUUCCAGUAUUCAAGUUCACAUUCUUCGCAUUCGAACACUGGGGGAAUGAUAUAAGAAUACAACAACAAUGAUUUCCACAUCGACCAGGAAUAUGAAACCCGAAAACAUAGUUGUAUCAUCGGGAUCGGGGACUGUGCGGCCAGCCCCAUAGAAACAAGUUGUAUAAGUUAGUCACAAGUAAUGACAAUUUCUUUUUAGCACAACGAAUGAUUAUAUACUUUUGAAAAUGGAAGGAAUAAAGUAAAGUCCUUUUAUUUUUAUCUUGUUUCUUAUCCUAUCAAUGAAUUAAUUUUAUCAUUUGAAAGUUAAACAAGUACUUCAAAUGCUAAUGCCAUAAUGAACAGGAGAUGUCCUGUUCAAGAGCACCGUAAACAUAAGAGGGAACUCUCUUAUGAAACCCUCAUGGUAAGGGGUUGAUUCCGGAAGAGCUUAUGCUCGGAAUUCAAAUGCUCUCGGGGAAAAAUACACCUGAAGCCUUGCAUAAUUCGAUGCAAAUAGAAAAACUUGCAUAAUACUUAAAUGAAAAGUACGCAAAAAGAAAUAAUUGCACAAUACUUAAACGAAAAAAUAAUUCCAUCCAUAGCAAACGUGCCAAGCAACACAAAUACAAAGGUAUGGAAAAGAAAAGAAAGUAAAAAGUUGAACUACUGCACCCCCAAAAUCCGAAGGAAAAGAAGCAUUUGCACUCCCGGGAGAAGUAGGUGGAUUAGCCGUUGGCUCAAUAUCUUGGCCUUCACCAUCUUGGCCUUCAGCAUCAUCCCCUUCCGGUUCUUCUUCAGUUCCCGAGAACUCGGAACCGGAACUAGAAGAGUCAGUAGCAUCAUGUUGAACCAGGAGACCCCGUCGGGCAGUUGACUCCAGCUCACGAACCUUAGCGAUUUCGGCAUCAAAGUCAAUGACGCCCGAUUUGGACUCUUCCAAGGUUUUUCUCCUCAUGCUAUACAUAGAAUAUGUUUUUUCAACAACAAGGGAAGCCACUUAUCGCUAAAGUUCUUCAUUAAGACGGUCAACCUCAGUCGAAAGGUUAUCCCGCUCGGAUCUAAUGGCCCGGAGGCUAAAAUCAAGGUCACGGAUAGUGGAGUUAAAUACUUUAUUAUUCUCUAUAACCCACUUAUGCCUCUCUUCCAAUCGGGCAUACUUUUCCUCGGCACAAGCAACUUCUUCAGCUUUGGAGUUCAAGGUCGCCUCCAAAUUAUUUAAUCUUUCAGUAGAGGCAGCCUCGCGAUCGGAUGCAGCAAGAACGACAUUGUGGAUCUCAACCCACUUUGCCCUAGCUUCUUCAAACUGUACCCUUAAUAGGGUGGCAUCUUGGCCGAGGGUCACUACCUCUUGCUCGCUUUGCUGCAACCGAGCCUCCAACUCAACGACCUCAGCAGCUUGUGCUUCCAGUUCUAGGAGCCGAGCAACAUUUGGUCUCGCUCGGCCAACAAUGGAUCCCGCUCGAAGGUAAGUUCCACCUUAUCAAGAAUCAACCUCUGAAGGCCCUCGGAUGCAAGGAAGUUAGCCUGCAAAACAGAAGUACAAACUAAAAACCUUGCCAUAACAACAAUAGAAGAAACAAUAGAGGAAAGAAAGAUUUUACUGCUACUGCGUUAUGCAUGGCAUUGUUCAACAAACACUCUCCCGAAAUAGAUUGCAUUUUAUUUAUAUCCUUUCUAAAGCCAGAGGCUUCAGAUAAUUAGCAAGUUCCACCAGCAGGGAUAGUAGAUAGCAUCCGAAAACCGAAAGGGAGACACUCAUCCUCCUCUAUGGAUCUCUGGAGGGGGCAAAAUAAUUAUGCCCAAAAUUCCCAUAAACUGGGGACUGGGAAGAGGGACAUCUUCCUCUCGGACGACUGCGGUCGGUGGAGAUAAUGUAGCACUUGAUGGUGGCGAAGGCAAGGUCAUAGAAGAAGGAGAUGAUACUGAUAGCAUUGUAGGUUGAGAAGUGGCGACUGAACUCGAAAGCGAGAGUUAGCAUCUUCCACCAUAUCAUGUUCCCUCCAGAGCGUCGGGGCGUCAUCCUCGAUUGCCGUAACUAGAUCAACAGAUUGAGCAUUCUGUUGAGCUGAUGAAGGUCAUCAUCUUCUAUGUAGAGAAGCCCCCUCAUCAUUGGCUCCUUCAUCGUUAUCGAUCACCACAAUGUCUAUGGCUGGCUUAGGCGCGGCGUUAUUCGCCUUUUUAUUUUACCCUCGAUCGCAGAAGAAUGUCGCCUUUUUUUUGCUUGUUCUCCGGCCGGGGACUCCUAGAAGAAACACUUACACCGGAAGCAGGCCCGAUGACACCUAUUCGGGUAAAAGCCUCCUGCACCAACCUCGCCGUAUCAGCCAGAACGUCCUUCUCGGGAUAGUAAUAGAGCCCUGCGGAAGACCUGAAUUCAACAGGAAAGAAAGGUUAACCAAUUUUUCUUAUACGAGAAGUGAAGACAACAUAAGUUCAACCUACCAUGAUUUUUGUCCUUCUACCCAUAUUUAAGGGCCAGUUCCUUCCACUUGCUGGUCUUAGGCGUAGUGACAUCCAGAAUCUUCUGGACCCACUGGUCUAGGCCUUCAAUCCUAGGUGGUAUCCACUGAGUUGCUGAAAUAGUAAAAGAAGAAGGAUCAACAAUAUCAUGGGACAAUCUUUAACUAGAAAGACAGACGAUGUACUUACGAGUGGGGUUCCAUAAUUCAGGAAAGGAUGGAGUCAUGGUCGGGAUAAUGUCCCUGGUGGAAACCGCAACGAACCGCUCCAUCCACCCACGGUCAUUGUCAUCAUCCAUGCUAGUUAGCAAAGCAUGGUGACCACAUUUGCUAAAGUUUAUCAUUCCCCCACGGAAAAUCUUGGGGGAAUAAAGGUUUAUCAGUCGAUCUAGAUAUAGCUCUUCUCCUAUCUCCUGACAUAGACGUCGAAGACAAGCAACAGUCUGCCACACAGAAGGGCUUAUCUGUGCCAAACAGACUUGGUAAAGAAGGCAAAACUCCAAGAUAAUGGAGUCAAGCCCCCCGCUAAUGAGAACGGGUCCAGAGUAAAGCGAUACGUAUAAACAUACGUAAAAUCCUUCUUAUAGAAGGUUACCGGCUCCGCCUGGUCAGGAGAAAUGAUGUUCAUAUCUUGACAACCACAAUCUUCCUUCGCACUAGGAAUGCUAGAAGGGUGGAUGGAAGAAGGAUACACGCCAACAACCCAUGUUCGGGGGCUAGGAGAAGGGUACUUCUCUUCGAAGUCAUUAGUUGUAAUAAUCUUUCUGGGAAUGAUGGUGCUCACCGUGGUAGGAGCAGCAUCAUCAACACUUUCUUUAUUUUUCGAAGCACUGGAAUUCCUGGAAGAGGAGGCAAAUGUUAUAAGAAGAAAGAGAGUUUGAGAGAGUUUGGAAAGUUAUGAAGUGUAAAAGGAGAAGGUUGAUGCAUAUAAGUAAAGGAAUAGGUGUCUAAAGUCGUGGCUAUAAUUACCUCAAUAACCGGCAAAUUGUUGCUGAAUUAUGGGAUGAAGCAUGUUCGGGGCAUUAAAUACGGAAAAACAUACGUCUAAUCAACCGUCAGAAACUUUUCAGAAGGGGUCAAAGAAUUUUCCGCCAAAAAGGUAUCUAUACCAACUUCUCGGUGACACAAGGUUAUGUAACUGGAAGUAGGGGGACUAUCUGUAUAGGGUAAAAUAUGUUCAUAUUAAAUGCUCGCAUGAUAAAGCUACACGUGGAGCCGAAGAAAGAAGGCAAACAGGUCCGAAGGCAACGAUCUCGUUUGUCCCCGGAGGGAAUGGGGUUCAUGAAGGCGGAAUAAAUGUCUACCACCUGAUAGAAUUUAAUGGAGAAUAUUCUAUAGCAUUAAAUAUAUAGUCCGUUACAGAAAAUAUGACAUUGACUGCCUACCGUUACACAUUCUUUAAUGGCCCUCAUAAUUGUCAUUUAAUAAGGGCUUGAUCCUAGGACCUUGUUCCCUAUGUGCAAUUAUAAAUAGAGAGCUCAACAACUAUUGUAGGACAUGAAUUUUCUAACAAGCUGAUACUAUACUUUGUUAAAAGCCCUCAAUAAUAUUUUAAUCUUCUUGCUUAUUAAUAUUUUUACUACUGCCUUCGGAAGCACUGCUCCCGGAACCAAGAUUUCUGAUGUCUUAUCUCGAUUUCAACGCUAAGUCUUACAUUCUUGUUUAAUUUAUUUAUCAUUUAGGGAUCAAAUCGAUUCACUUAUUUAUAAACCACGUAUAAAUUCAACUGUACCGCUUUAUAGGUAAACAACUUUGUCACUGGGAAUUUUUGCCUUCUUAUAACAUAUUGUUUUUAUGUUUUAGUAUUAAUGGGAAUCUAGAUUUCAUUCAGUUAUUAUCAACAUAUUGUUCCAAAAACAUAGAAGGUUUGACAAUUAGGUACUAUUGGAAUAUUUGUUGGGUCUCUCACAUCGGCUGAGGAAUGAGGGAUUUGGUCACUUUUUAUGGCUCGGACAAUUCUCACCUCAUGAAUUGGCUUUUAGAGUUGGGUAGGUCCAAGCUUCAUUUCCUUGUCAUGGUAUCAGAGUCGGAUUCUUUGUACCAUUUUUGGACCCUCAUAUUAUAUUAUUCAUGCUUCAACAUCGGCUAAGGAAUGGGGGACUUGGGCAAUCCUCAUAUCAUGAACUAGCUUUUACAGUUGAGUUAGGCCAAGAUCUAUUUAUUUGGCAUUACUUAAUCCUGAAAGAGUAGAGAGACAGCUUUUUUAAGUUUCAAACAAUAAUAUUUCUCAAUUAAUCUUGGCUUCGCCAAGUAGGAACCCGAUUUUGAUUUACUUCAAGGUCAAAAGUUAAAAGUGUUGCUCAUGGGGCAAGCGAGAGACAACACUUGUUAAACUUGAAGUUCUACCAAUUAAGCAAGCGGAGGCAAAACUUUAAGAUCAUCUACUUUAAGGGUUUUUGUGUACUUCACCCCGUUAAGGUGAAAGGUUCUAAAUCCAUCAAUAAAGGUAACAUCCUUUUUCCCCCACCCUAACCAAGGGCGGAUUUAAGUCUAAUUUAUGGGCACGUGAACCCAUGGUCUAUCCGCCAAACUAGAUAUUUUAUAUACAUAUUUUCUAAAAUUGAUCUGAUAUUAUAUGAUGACACUCAUGCUCCAAAGAUGCUAAAUGGUGCACUUGUUUGAAUGUUUAGUUAGUUACCUAGAGGAGCAGAGAUCGAUUCCCACUUAAUUCUUCUUUUUUUCCUUCUUUGUUUAAUGGUGCACUCAUGUUAUAGAAAUUCUAGAUCCGCCUCUGACACCAAAGUAGUAAUUAAAAAAGAAAAAGAAAAAGGCAUGGGGAGAUUCUGAUUUGCGAUUGUUACAAGAGCAAAGAGUAAAUAAUUUUUUUCCAUGUGAUAGCAGAAAAUGACUUACACCCACUAUGAUCGUAAGGCUGUUUCUCCCAAUUUUGUGUAAAAUAUACAAGCAUAGCUACCUACUACAAAAAAUAUACAGCGAAAAUUGUCGAAAAAUUUAGUAUUUGUUAGGAAAUAAUGGUAGAGCAAGGUAAAGGAUAGGUAUGGCUAUUUUCUUGCAUGCUUUUAUUUGAAAGGAAAAAAGAAAAUAAAAACGCUUUUUCAACAUCUACUUUCAAGUAGCUUUAAGCGCUUUUCAAAGUAUGCUUUAUAGAAGCACAAAAAGGUCGAAAAGCCAACUUUAAUUUCUUACUUAUCCUUAAUUUACACAGCAUUAAACACCUUUUUGAAAAUGAAUAAGUAAACUGGCAUUAUUUCCAAAAACAACAGAAAGUCAGAAAUAUUGGUGCUGACCAUCAGCCAUGGCCCCCAAACAUCAUAGAACUAUGUAGUCAAACAAAUUUCAAGGACAUCUUCAGCUCUUAUGCUUCUCAAGAGUCAAGCUCGAUUGACAAUAAUAAGAAAACAGAAAACAGUGCUGCUUGUAAUGUGAGAAAAUAGAAAAAAGUGCUGCUUGAAUUUGCAAACCCGGUUUCGGAAAAAAAUUAAACAAAGGCUUCUGUAACACAAUGCAUCUAAAAUGUCUGAUAUCUCCCUCCCUUGCUGUUACCCAGAAUAAGUCACAAAUCUACAAGGCGACCUUAUACUUGUAACGGGAUCACUCAAAAAGUGUCCCUUGAAUCAUUAACAUCACUUAGAAAUAUCAAAAGAGUGAGACUAGCCAAUUAGAAGUUGGACUAAGAAUGUCAUUGGUCGUCUAUUGAUGCAGGGCUUUACCUGCUAGUUUUACUAUACCAGCCAUCUUUUUCGNNNNNNNNNNNNNNNNNNNNNNNNNUCUCUACCCUUCGGGGUAGGGGUAAGGUCUGCGUACAUAUUACGCUCCCCAGACCCCACUUGUAGGAUUAUACUGGGUUGUUGUUGUUGUUGUACUUAGAAAUAUCAAAAGAAUCAAGGAAGCUCUUUGCCAUGUCCUUUUGGACCCUUAUUCUAGGACGUUGUUGAAUAAAGGCAAAUUAAAUGACAACAUUUGAAAGCAGAAUAAACUCCUAUCUUAACAGAAAACAGCCGGUAACACAACAACUUAAAUUGGUUUCUUCAAAAUUCCGAAGAAUGCUAACCAAGAAUAAGCAAUAACAAAGAGCAUUUAAGCAACACGAACCUCUUGAUUUCAUCUCGUAAAAAAGUACAUUUAAUCACCCAAAACUGAUACGAGUAGGAAUCCUACAUAGACGGAUAAAUGACAGAAGCAUUAUUCAACAGAAUGACAAGAUAAUACGCCAUUACAAAGUUCAAUUAACCAAAAAUGCUGAAACGAAAAUGAAAUUUAGUAGAUCGAGUACUUCUCGCCAGCAUCAGGCCAAAGUUUCCUGUAGAUGCCAAUUGCAGUUGGAAUUAUAGCAGAAAGUGCAAGAGAGAGGUGGUCUGAACUGCUUGUCCUCACAGUUAUUUGCCCACUGAGCUUGUUAUUGAUUCCUGCUCGAACAGCUACCUUAGAAUUACGCCCAACCGCGAAUUGCGCCAUACUGUUGAAUCCUAGAGCCAAAUCACCUCUCCACUUUAUGACAGACAUAGACAAUGUGGAUUGCACCUGACCAAUUGGAAAAUCUGCCUCCCUUCUCUGCAGUUCAAAGUUGGCACCAUAAGCUGUGUCACUCUGAGAUCGAACAGUGCCAGUGCUGCCAACUAGAACGUAUUGCUUGCCUAAGGUGAUCUGAUCUUCAACUUUAAGCCCGGUAACCACAUUUUCACCUAGAAAUGUGACAGAAAUUCCACCAGCAGUCUUGUUCUUCUUCAAGAUUUUGAAUUUGGUUUCUCCCCUGACAAUAUAUGCAAGUUGCUUUCCUAUGCUUUGAAUAUCAAAGCCAGCCAUGGUGGAUCCAUUAUCUCCAUGCUUAGCAGAAAUAGAAGAGUCCAAAUUGAUACUGAAAUCUUUCUUAUCUUUGGUGAUUUGGACAGUAACUGCAGCAGGGAAACGACUUGCAAUGGCUAAACUCUGUUCCACGUUAACACCAUCAUAGCCACAAUCAUGAUCCCAACCAUGCGUGUCCAGAACAGGCCUUGCAAGAAACUGAGAAGUGGGCUCCAAAAACCGGUACCUGUAGGCAGGAUUAUCACUAUCAAAAGAAGGUGGGAGGACCAUGUCGGGUAGGGGAACUGCUACAGGAGCUGCUGCCCCUGUAUCAGCAUCUUCCUCUGCAUAACCAUACUCAAUUGCUGCCUCUUUUCCCUUGUUAUUUUUCAUUUCUCUCAUUCUUCUCAACUCUUCCCUCCACUGCUUCUUCUGAAGGAGCUUGACCCGAUAGUCGUACUCCUCAAAAUAUGCCUUCCUCUGUUCUUUGCUGAGCUUAGCGAGUUGAGCCUUCCGAAGAGGCUUAAAGGGAGGAAGCUGGUCGUACUCGUCUUCUUCUUCUUGGUCAGACUCUGACAAAUCAUCCAAGUCAAUGUCUGAAUCACCAUUAUCACCACCCUGCUCAGCGGGAAGCUUGGGAUGCGCACGUGACUGCAGCAUUGAGGACAGCAUGUAGGGAAGAGGUGGUGAGCGUGUGCGGAAACCAAAGAGCUUACGGUGAUCGAAUGGAUCUUCAGGCUUUGAGAGUGCACUUGCUUCAGACAAGAUCUUCAUUGAGUAGCAUAAUAACAGUAAUUGAGGCCUCCAGCUCUGGCCAUUAGGUAGUAUCUUCUGCCCUUCCCUAUUCUUCCUACAAGAUGGAUGAUUCUCUACCAGAGAAACAGGGUUCAUCAAACUUGGACUCAUCAUUCGUAAAUCGCCUACUGCUUGACCAAUAGACUGCUGAACAACAUGAGACCUUUGAGUAACAAACACCUCAUAACUUAAAGGGGAGCCAGAAGGCCCAUCUGGAGGUGCAGAAGCUCCAUGUGUGAGAGUGACUAUGGCACUUCUCCAUAUUGAAGGGCCAAGACAACUUGUGAUAGUCUUCAGCAUAGGAAGAUCAUUGAGAUCUCUAGUUUGGGCAUCUAGCCGAUCAACGUAAAGGAAAAUAUCAGGGGGGUUCUUCUUAGUAAACUUCUUUGCUGAAGACAAGACACUGCGGUUGAAACCCUGUUCCAUCACAGAGGACUUGAGACCGGGUGUAUCAAAUACCCGAAUCUUAACACCCUCUACAACACCACUAAUCUCUUUCACACUGGUGGUAGCUGGCCCAAAUGCAUUAAUUGGAGUUUUUUCCUCUCCGAAGAUCGAAUUUAUGGUAGCGCUCUUACCCACUCCUGAUUUUCCAAUAACCUGGAUAUUAACAGAGAAGUCCAAAUCAUCUUCCCCCUCUGCUUCAAGCUGGAGAGCUCUCAUCUUGGCAGCCUCCAGGCUAAAAAGUGGACUGUUUUGCCUUCGUGCAAUAAGUGCCAGCCGGUACAAUACUUGAGCAGCUAUGGACUCAUCAGAAGAAAACCCUAACCUGUGAAUAAGCCUCAAAAACUUGACCCUAAUCUGCUGUAAUUUCUCCAGUUUCUUCUUUUCUUCUUCACUCAAGUUAUUCUCAGAUUCUCCACUAUUCUGAAGACUGGAAGGAGUAAAAAGAUUGGGGCGAUUUGGUUGGGGAGCUGGCCUCAGCGACCGCAGUGAUGACCCAAGACCAGCAGGACGUUCAACAGAGAAUAGCCUUGACCCAUCUUGAGAUGUGAUUGUGAUGUUUCCACCAUCAGAAUCAGCACCUGUAGCUGCUUUUAAAAGGGCAGCUAAGGCAGCUGAAUCGAACAACUCCUUCCCAUCUCCUUCUUCAUCAGUAUCAGCCUCCUCAUCUGAGUCGGUGACGAUCUGACCAUCAAUUUCCUGUGAAUGAUCAUGUGAAGCCUCAGCACCAGUAUAGGAAUCACCACCGGAUUCCCUUUCCAGCUCUUCAAUAAACUGUCUGGCAGCUUCAGAGCUUCCAAAGAUCAUACCGUCUGUCUCUCCAUCUGAAAUUGAGCCUUCAAGCUCAGCUUCUUCAUCUAUUUGAUCUUUAGCUUCUCCAUCUGCUUCCAGUAUUUGCUGUGAGCCACUGAUUGACCUUGAUAUGGCAGAUGACUGACCUGAGACUUCAGCUUCCACUACAUCUCCCUCAAUGCUUCCUUCGGAAUGGUCACCGUUGGCAUAAAUAGUUUCAGACACUGCCUGCUCAGGUUCCUUUUCGACAUCCUUCACGUCCGGACUUAUAUUACCACUUUCAGGAUCUGCUUCUUUGAUUUCCUCGGUAGCAGCUACCGCAUCACCAGUCUGAACGUCUCCAGCAUCUAGUUUUUCAUCACUUCCAGCACCAACAAUGAUAUCCACAGGCUUGGAUUCUGCAGCUGCAACAUUAUCAUCCACUGCAGGCUUAGACUUCUGAACAUCUACUUCAUCAACUGUCAUAUUAGCCACUUCUUCAAUAAGUUGUCUGGUCUCACCAACACCAUUUACUGAUGUCACAUUCUCAUCAGCAGUACUUUCUACAUGUUCUUUCACUUCCUUGUUCUCAUCCACAUCUCCAACAACAGCAACCCCUGUCCCUGAGACGUUGACAUCAAUAGCAUCCACAACUGCAUCUCCAUCUGAAGUAAAUUUCUCACCAUCUGCUUCAAUCAACAAAGACUCUGACACAUCAGCAGGACUUUCAACAUGUUGUUCCACUUCCUUGCUCUCUUCCACAUCUCCAACAACAGCAACUCCUGGUGCUGACACAUUCACUACACUCCCUUCCACAUCUCCAACGACAGGGACCCCUAGCGCUGAUACAUUCACUUCACUCUCUUCCACAUCUCCAACAACAACAACCCCUGGCGCUGACACAUUGACAUUGACAUCAAUAGCAUCCACUACUGCAUCUCCUUCUGGAGUAAUCUCACCUUCUGCUCCAACCAACAAAGACUCCGACGGUUCAACAACCUCCUCAUUGGGUUUUUCGGCAUCAUCACUAGGAAUAGCACUCUCUUCCACAUCUCCACCAACAGCAACCCCUGGCGCUGACACAUUGACAUUAACAUCAAUAGCAUCCACAACCGCAUCUCCUUCAAGCGUAAACUUCUCACGGUUCGCUUCAACCAACAAAGACUCCGACGGUUCAACAACCGCCUUAUUGGGUUUUUCGGCAUCAUCACUAUGAGUAGCACUCUCUUCAAUCACCGUCUUAUCAGGUUCCACAGCCCCUUUCAGAUUAGAUGAAGCAACACUAGUUAAAGCUUCAUCCUUUUCAUUCUCCUCAAUUUCCUUCACCUCCUCCUGGGUGGACCCAUCCACACCCUUUUUCAAUUCUGUACCUACAGCAAUCUCACCACCACUCUCUUUCACCUGCUCAAUCGAAUUAGACUCAUCAACUGAGUUUAAUUCUUCAGUAUUUCCCUCAGAAACAGAACCACCAACUCCGCCAGAAUCCUCACUCAACGUAAUCCCUUCACCCUUUUCUCCCCCCAAAACCUCAACUUUUUCGACACCAUCAAUCAUAGAAACCUCAGAAACAGGCUUCACUGACUUCAGCAUCGAAAUUUCCGCAGAAUCAUUGGGCUGCUCUUCACCAAUGGAUUUUUCUACGGUUUUCUCAUCUGGGUCAGCAAGAAGGGGCCUUUCAGAGCCCGUAACAAUCUUUUCUCGCUGACCACCACUCACAAGUGUUCCAUCAUCACUAACGCAGUUACUAUUAUAACUAUUAUUAUUGUUAUUAAUUUCGGUAGCAGUGUUUGCAACGUUAUUUUGCAUUUGGGAAUCGAGAGAAGAAGAUGAAUUGUUGAUAGGAGAAGAACCUGGAGAAGGAGAAGAGACUACAGGUGGAAACGACGUCGCUUCUACUUUGAAAUCCAUGCCGUCAACAACUCCUCGCUUCUCAAUUGAAUUGGGAUGAAGUAAAAUUGGAUAGUAUGAGAUAGGGGAAGUUCUCUGUGGAGAGAACAAAGAGGGGUUUUGGUGCAGAGAGGGGGGGAUUAGAUAGAGUAGACGAUAAGGUUUAUAGUAUUAGCUCAAUUUCUAUAGGCACUCCUAUGGGCUUUGGGGGUUUUGAAGCAUUUUCACUCUUUAGAAAUAAAAGAAAAGAAAAUUAAUUUUACACGGAAUUUGUAAAUUUUUUUAUACCACCUGUUUUUUUUUAUUUAUAAUAAUGGCAGAUAUAUUAUAAAAAAUAGAUAACCUUCAGUUGGUUACGGAUAGUAGGAAAAUUACCACAUUGGUGGAUUAUCACAUGCAAUAGAUUGAUUGCCUAAGGUUCUUAGCCUAUUACAAGCAUCACUAGAUAAAGUUUUUACAAAAGGACAAGCUUCAUUUUCUUCCAAAGUCAGUUGUUUCUUCACAAAAGGAGGAGGUGUUGCAUGGAGUUUUGGAUACUGAGGGGAGAGCUGUUUGUAGUUUCCCUUUGUGGCGUCUUUUGCAAGGAUAUACGCCACUUGGUUGCCUUCCCGGAAAUUAUAUUGUAGUAGGAGGUCCUUCUGGUGGUGCAUUAAUGAUCUGCAAGAAAAAACAAGAUUAGAACAGACUAAAUGGUCCUGCUGUCUUGCCUUGAUUGCUUCAGUUGAGUCGGUCUCCACUUCAAGCGGAAAGAGCUUGUAUUUCUUUGCAAUUUGUAGGCCUUCGCAAAUUGCUUGUAGCUAUGUAUGAAGAGGAGAAAUAGUUGUGCUUUGCAUUUGGAAGCCAAGGAUCCACAUACCCAUGUGAUUUCUGAUCACACCUCCUACACCUGAUAUUUGUGCAUCAACUUUGUAUGCACCAUCAGUGUUUAGUUUAUACCAAUGUUGUUGGGGUUUAUGCCAACUUAUAUUAACAAUCAUUUUUGUUUGAGUUGGGCCACCCUUUGUGUUUAGGAAAUUAUAUUCAGUAACUUGGCCCAUUAAAGUUGUUAGUUUUGGGGGGGGGGGGGGGGGNNNNGGGGGAGUUUGUGUUGUUGAAAUUAUUCUUGUUCCUGUUAGUCCAGAUUUCCCAUAUAAGGAAGGGAAGUAGAGUACCCCAUUCCAUAGUUGAUGAGAUGGUUAUUGUGUUCAAAUCUUUUAGGAUCUCCAAAUGUUCUCAACUUUACGGCACAACAGGAAGAUGUAUAAUACCUUCUUCGUUUGUUCGGCAUAUAGUGCAUUGAGGAUCAAUAUUAAUAUCAAUAUGAUGAAGAUACUGACGAGUAGGAAUUCUAUCGUGGAGGCAUUGCCAAAGGAAGAAUUUUAUUUUGUUCGGGCAAUGUAACUUCCAUAUCUAGCUGAAAUCAUGUGUUGCUGGGUUAGUGUUGUUGACUAAUUGAUAGCAACUUUUGGUGGUGAAUUGGCCAUUGUUAUUAAGGCUCCAUAGAUGCUUGUCAUAGUUUCCAUAGUUAAGGGGUUGUGGAAUGCUUUUAAUAUUGUUUACCACUUUAGAAGGCAUUCGGAAGGAAAUUUUUAAGAAUGACCAAUUUCCAUUGUGGUAGAUAUUUCUUAUUUGAAGAUUGCUCUCAUGUUCUUGGAGGGGUCCCUCAAUGCAGUUUCUUAACAAUAGGUAAUUUGGAAUCCAACGGGUGUCCCAUAUAUUGAGAGUGGAAUUGUGGCUAGGUUGCCAUAGAAUGGCUUUAGAACAGAUGGUCCAUCCUUUUAGGAUGCCCUUCCAAAUGAAUGAAUGGUUCUUUGAUCUUUUGGAACUAUAUUUAUUAAUUAAUAUGUUUGCCCAAGGAGUGGUUGGAUUAGAAAGAAUUCACCAAGUUAAUCCACUCAACAAAGCAGUGUUUUUAGAGUUAGGAUUAUUUAGACCAAGGCCUCUAUAACGACCCGACCGGUUGUUUUAAGAAUUAACGUCCUGAUCCCUUAUUAACUGCUUNNNNNNNNNNNNNNNNNNNNNNNNNNNNNNNNNNNNNNNNNNNNNNNNNNNNNNNNNNNNNNNNNNNNNNNNNNNNNNNNNNNNNNNNNNNNNNNNNNNNNNNNNNNNNNNNNNNNNNNNNNNNNNNNNNNNNNNNNNNNNNNNNNNNNNNNNNNNNNNNNNNNNNNNNNNNNNNNNNNNNNNNNNNNNNNNNNNNNNNNNNNNNNNNNNNNNNNNNNNNNNNNNNNNNNNNNNNNNNNNNNNNNNNNNNNNNNNNNNNNNNNNNNNNNNNNNNNNNNNNNNNNNNNNNNNNNNNNNNNNNNNNNNNNNNNNNNNNNNNNNNNNNNNNNNNNNNNNNNNNNNNNNNNNNNNNNNNNNNNNNNNNNNNNNNNNNNNNNNNNNNNNNNNNNNNNNNNNNNNNNNNNNNNNNNNNNNNNNNNNNNNNNNNNNNNNNNNNNNNNNNNNNNNNNNNNNNNNNNNNNNNNNNNNNNNNNNNNNNNNNNNNNNNNNNNNNNNNNNNNNNNNNNNNNNNNNNNNNNNNNNNNNNNNNNNNNNNNNNNNNNNNNNNNNNNNNNNNNNNNNNNNNNNNNNNNNNNNNNNNNNNNNNNNNNNNNNNNNNNNNNNNNNNNNNNNNNNNNNNNNNNNNNNNNNNNNNNNNNNNNNNNNNNNNNNNNNNNNNNNNNNNNNNNNNNNNNNNNNNNNNNNNNNNNNNNNNNNNNNNNNNNNNNNNNNNNNNNNNNNNNNNNNNNNNNNNNNNNNNNNNNNNNNNNNNNNNNNNNNNNNNNNNNNNNNNNNNNNNNNNNNNNNNNNNNNNNNNNNNNNNNNNNNNNNNNNNNNNNNNNNNNNNNNNNNNNNNNNNNNNNNNNNNNNNNNNNNNNNNNNNNNNNNNNNNNNNNNNNNNNNNNNNNNNNNNNNNNNNNNNNNNNNNNNNNNNNNNNNNNNNNNNNNNNNNNNNNNNNNNNNNNNNNNNNNNNNNNNNNNNNNNNNNNNNNNNNNNNNNNNNNNNNNNNNNNNNNNNNNNNNNNNNNNNNNNNNNNNNNNNNNNNNNNNNNNNNNNNNNNNNNNNNNNNNNNNNNNNNNNNNNNNNNNNNNNNNNNNNNNNNNNNNNNNNNNNNNNNNNNNNNNNNNNNNNNNNNNNNNNNNNNNNNNNNNNNNNNNNNNNNNNNNNNNNNNNNNNNNNNNNNNNNNNNNNNNNNNNNNNNNNNNNNNNNNNNNNNNNNNNNNNNNNNNNNNNNNNNNNNNNNNNNNNNNNNNNNNNNNNNNNNNNNNNNNNNNNNNNNNNNNNNNNNNNNNNNNNNNNNNNNNNNNNNNNNNNNNNNNNNNNNNNNNNNNNNNNNNNNNNNNNNNNNNNNNNNNNNNNNNNNNNNNNNNNNNNNNNNNNNNNNNNNNNNNNNNNNNNNNNNNNNNNNNNNNNNNNNNNNNNNNNNNNNNNNNNNNNNNNNNNNNNNNNNNNNNNNNNNNNNNNNNNNNNNNNNNNNNNNNNNNNNNNNNNNNNNNNNNNNNNNNNNNNNNNNNNNNNNNNNNNNNNNNNNNNNNNNNNNNNNNNNNNNNNNNNNNNNNNNNNNNNNNNNNNNNNNNNNNNNNNNNNNUUUCGGAGUGUUUUGAGACACUUAGUCCCUAAAAGAGAGCUUAAGCUUUAGAAUUUGGACCGUAGUCGGAGCAAUAUGAAGACGACCUCGGAAUGGAAUUCUGUCAGUUCCGUUAGCUCCGUUGGAUGAUUUCGGUCUUAGGGGCGUGUUCGGAUUGUAUUUUGGAAGUUUGUAGCUUAUUUAGGCUUGAAAUGCCGAAAGUUGAAUUUUUGAAGUUUCCGGUUCGAUAGUGAGAUUUUGAUAUCGGGGUCGGGAUGGAAUUCUGGAAGCUGGCGUAGCUCCGUAGUGUUGAAUGUGAUGUGCUUGCAAAAAUUUCAGGUCAUUCGGACGAGGUUUGAUAGACUUUUUGAUUGAAAGCGUAAUUUGAGAGUUUUUGGAGUUCUUAGGCUUGAAUCUGAUAUUAAAUAGGUGUUUUGAUGUUGUUUUGAGCAUUCCGAAGGUUGGAACAAGUUUGAAUGAUAUUUUAGGAGUGAUUGGCAUGUUUGGUUGAGGUCCCGGGGGCCUCAGGUGUGUUUCAGAUACUCAACGGACCAUUUUUGGACUUGGAGAAGGAUCAGAUUUUUGCUGGUUUUUGUUGCAGACUUUUCUUCAUCGCGAUCGUGUGAGGAGGCUCGCGAUCGCGAUGGCUUGAAUUAGGCAGAGUGAAUUUUGUUCUACGUGAUCGUGGGAAGGGGAGUGCGAAUGCAUAAUAAUAGCAGGAGUUGAAUUGCGAACGCGUGGGCUACGCCGCGUUCGCGAAGAGGAAGGAGUGAAACAGCUGAGGAUUUGCAAGUUGCUCUUCGCGAUCGCAUGGGAGUUUCCGCGAUCGCGAUUAAGGUCGCGUCUGGGCAGAACAUAAAGUUCAAAAUCGAGGGUUUUGAGUUUAUAUCACAAAAUUGAAUUGGGAGCUCGGUAGGAGAUGAAUUUUGGAGAGAUUGUCGGAGGGAGUUUGCGGGUAAUGAUUCUUAACUCCUUUUUACUUAUAACCCACUAAUCUAACACAUGAAUUCAUCAUCUAAUUUCGGAUUUGGGGUGAGAAAUUGGGGAAAAUUUGGAAAAGUUCUUAGACCUAAUUUUUGAGUUUUGAUUGGGGAUUUGACGUCGGAUUUGGAUAAUUUUGAUAUGGUUAAACUCGUGAGUGAAUGGAGGUUCAUAAUCCGUAACUUUUACCCGAUUUCGAGAUGUGGGUCCGGGGGGGCAUUUUGGUCAUUUUUCCUAAUUUCGCGUAUUAGCUUAGAAUUAAUUAGUGGAAUCAGUUACUUGAAGUUAUAUUUACAUUAUGCAAUUGAUUUGAAUAGAUUGAGCCAUUUGGAUUCGAGUACUCGUGGCAAGAGCGUGAUUUCGGGUUGGUUUUUGAGUCGGUUCGAGGUAAGUGACUUGCCUAACCUUGUAUGGGGGAACUCCCCUUAGGAUUUGGUAUUGUUGAUAUUUGAAAUGCCUUGUACAUGACGUGACGAGUACGUACUUGUGCUAAUUGUUGAAAAUCCUGUUUUCAUUAAGUAACUAUAAUUGUGUUUCCUUUCCUGUUUAUACUACUUGCAAUUUAAACCCGUUGUUAGCUUAGGAAAGUAUGUCUAAUUGCCUUAAUUGCUUUACUUUCUCAAACUGUCUUAUUUGGAUUAUGUGAAGCAUGUUAGGUUAGAAAUACAUGUUUUACCUUCGUAUCAAAUUUGAAUUGAAUUAAGUAUUCUUCGUGUUGCUACUGUGUGUUUACUUUGGGACUACGGGACAGUAUCCCGGGAGAUCCCCUUGCCUGUUUACUUUGGGACUACAGAUUUGUAUUCUAGGAGAUCCCCUACACAUAUAUAUUGAUUUGGACUGUAGUGCGGGAUACCGAGAGAUCCUCAUCACGUAUAUUGAGGAUACUAAGAGAUCCUCGGGAUACCGAGAGAUCCCAGCACAUAUAUUGAGGAUACUAAGAGAUUCUCGAGAUACCGAGAGAUCCCAUCACACAUAUUGAGGAUACUAAGAGAUCCUCGGGGUACUGAGAGAUCCCCGGUUGUUAUCUCAGUGUUGAGCUGUAUUCCUUCUGUGAUUACUUUGUCUCUAUUAUAGUCGUUGUUAUUCUUAUUAUCCUGUGUUUCUUCAUACUGUUAGCAUUUAAUUAUAUUGACAUAUUCUAUACUGUUUUAUUUCAUUUUUCAGCUAUAAUCAGUAUGGCCCUGUCCUUUCUCAUCACUACUCUACCGUGGUUAGACUUGACACUUACUGAGUACCGCUGUGGUGUACUCAUGCCCUUUCUACGCAUGUUUUUCAUGUGCAAAUCUAGGUAUUCGACUCAGUCCUACUACCUUUGAGGCGAGGUGAUUCUCCAGAGAUUUCGAGGUAUAUCUGUCGCGUCCGCAAACCGAGGAGUCCAUUUCCAUUCUCUCUCAUAGUAUUAGCCCUUAUGUAUUUAGUUUUGUUUAGACAUUCUGGAGUUAGACACUUGUAGUUAUUCAACAGCUUGUGAUUGCAUGAGAUUCCAAAUUUUGGAAAGUUGUUCAGUUUGAGAGACUAUAUUGUAUAUGCCGAGUGGCAUCUUUAAACCUUCACUAUGUUAAUUUCACAGUUUUUAUUUGUUUUAUCUGUUGUUUUUCCUUUUUUCUGCAAUUGUUAGGCUUAUCUAGUUGUAGAGAGUAGGUGCCGUCACAACAGUUUACGAAGGACGAACUUGGGUCGUGAUAAGUUGGUAUUAGAGCUCUAGGUUCAUAGGAGUCAUGAAUCACAAACCGAUUUAUUAGAGUUUCGAGGAUCGGUAUGGAGACAUCCGUACUUAUCUAUAAGAGACUAUGUAACUGUUAGAAAAAUUCCACUUCAUUUGGUGUCCUUGUCGUGCGAGAUUUUUGAUAUCAUAAUUCUAAACUUCUGUCUUCUAUUCUCUCACAGAUGGUGAGGACACAUGCUACCAGAGAUGAUCAGGCACCCGCGCCCCCUACAGGAGCCGUCGGAGGUCGGGGCCGGGGUAGAGGCCGAGGACACGCUCGUGGUGCAGCCAGAGCACCCACGCAAGCUGCCACCGAGGUGCCACCAACAGUUCCAACCGGAGUCCAGGCACUUGAUACGCCUACUGCUACUACUACUCCAGCUCUUCAAGAGACUCUUGCACAGUUCAUGAGCAUGUAUACCACUCUGGCUUAAGCAGGGUUGCUUCCCCUUGUUGCAGCUACAUCUCAGGCCGGGGGAGGAGCACUGACUCCCAUCGCUCGCACUCCUAAGCAGCGAGUGCAUGUUGAUCAGGUCCUAGAGAUUAUUCCUGUACAGCCUGCAGUCCUAGAUUAGCCCGAGGAUAGGGAAGCGACUUUUAAGGAUGAACAACGGAGGCUUGAGAGGUUCAAUAAGUAUAAGCCUCAUGUAUUCAGUGGUCUAGCAUUAGAUAAUGCUCUGGGAUUUCUAGACGAGUGCUACCGUAUCCUCCGUACCAUGGGUAUAUCAGGAUCGAGCGGGGUUUCCUUCACUACCUUCCAGCUUCGAGGAGCCGCCUAUGAGUGGUGGCGUACUUCGAGUUAGACAGUCUGGAUGGGACAGCUUCCCUGACUUGGACUCAGUUUUCAGAUAUGUUCCUGAGAGAGUAUGUCCCUCAAAGCCUCAGGGACGCAUGGCGCGUAGAGUUUGAGCAUUUGCGCCAGGGUGCUAUGACUGUCUCGGAGUAUGCUGUAUGUUUCACUAGCUUGGCUAGACAUGCACUAGCUUUGGUUUCUACUAUUCGCGAGAGGGUUCACCAGUUUAUUGAGGGGCUCAUUACCAGCAUCAGGUCUAGCAUGGCUCGUCAGUUGGAGAUGGAUAUUUCUUAUUAGCAGGUGGUGAGCAUUGCUAGGAGAGUGGAGGGUAUGCAUGCUAGGGAUAGAGAGUAGAAGGAGGCCAAGAGGUCUCGAGAGUCGGGCCAUUAUUCUGGUGUCCGUGCUCAAGCUGGCAGUUCGGUCAUGGUAGGGGUUAUAUGAGUCGCCCGUUCAUUCAGCUCUUCCAGCAACCAGUGGUAUUCCAGCUCCUCCUAGACCUCAGGAGCCUUAUUAUGCACCUCUAGUAUCUAAUGCGCAUCUUGUGCGGGGUGCUUUCAGAGGUCAGUCUAGUAAACCUGGCCCGAGCUAAUCACAACCGCCACGUCCUCCCAGAGCUUUUUUUGAGUGUGCUGACACACGCCAUGUGGUGAGGAAUUGCCCUAGACUUGGGAGGAGUGCACCUCCAUAGACUUCUCAGCCAUAGUGUACCCCGCAAAGGUCUCAGACUAUAGUUACAGCUCCAGUUGCUACCCCACCUGCUCAGCCAGCUAAAGGUGGAGGUUGGGGAGGUAGAGGUCGCCCUAGAGGGGGAGGCUAGGCCAGAUGAGCCUUAGGAACCUUAUUAUGCAUCUCCAGUAUCUAGUGUGCCUCCUACACGGGGUGCUUUUAGAGGUUAGUCCAGCAGACCUGGCCCGAGCCAGUCACAACCGUCACGUCUUCCCAAAGCUUNNNNNNNNNNNNNNNNNNNNNNNNNNNNNNNNNNNNNNNNNNNNNNNNNNNNNNNNNNNNNNNNNNNNNNNNNNNNNNNNNNNNNNNNNNNUUGUUUUAAGUGUGGUGGCACACGCCAUAUGGUGAGGGAUUUCCCUAGACUUGGGAGGAGUGCACCUCCACAGACUUCUCGGCCACAGCAUGCCCCACAGAGUUCUCAGGCUAUGGUUACAGCUCCAGUUGCUACUCCACCUGCUCAGCCAACUAGAAGUGGAGGUCGGGGAGGUAGAGGUCGCCCUAGAGGGGGAGGCCAGGCCAAAUAUUAUGCCCUUCCCGCCCGUACCGAGGCUGUCACCUCUGAUUCUGUCAUCACAAGUAUUGUCCUAGUUUGUCAUAGAGAUGCAUCGGUUUUAUUCGAUCCAGGCUCCACCUAUUCUUAUGUGUCUUCUUAUUUUGCUCUGUAUUUGGGUGUAUCUCGGGAUUUUUUGAGUUCUCCUGUUUAUGUUUCUACUCCUGUGGGAGAUUCUCUUAUUGUGGACCGCGCUUAUCGGUCGUGUGUGGUUGCUCUUAGUGGUUUUGAGACCAUAGCUGAUUUAUUAUUGCUCAGCAUGGUAGAUUUUGAUGUUAUCUUGGGCAUGGACUGGUUGUCACCCCAUUAUGUUAUUCUUGAUUGUCACGCCAAAACUGUCACGUUGGCUAUGCCAAGUGUACCGCGAGUAGAGUGGAGGGGUACCUUAGAUCAUACUUAUAGUAUAGUUAUUUCAUUCCUUAAGGCUCAGUGUAUGGUUGAGAAGGGGUAUGAUGCAUGUCUAGCUUAUGUGAUAGAUGUCAGUAUUGAUACCCCUACAAUUGAUUCAGUCCCAAUAGUACGGGAUUUUUCUGAUGUGUUUUCAGCUAAUCUUCCGGGCAUGCCGCCCGAUAGAGAUAUUGGUUUUGGCAUUGAUCUAUUGUCGGGCACUUAGCCUAUUUCUAUUCCUCCAUAUUGUAUGGCCCCUUCUGAGUUGAAGGAGUUGAAUGAUCAGUUGCAGGAAUUGCUUGAUAAGGGUUUUAUUCGGUCCAGUGCAUCAACUUGGGGUGCUCCUAUCUUGUUUUUGAAGAAAAAGGAUGGUUCUAUGCGUGUGUGCAUUGAUUAUCGCCAGUUAAACAAAGUUACAGUAAAGAACCGUUAUCCUUUGCCCCGUAUUGAUGAUUUGUUUGACCAGUUACAGGGUGCACGAGUGUUUUCUAAGAUUGACUUGCGUUCAAGUUACCAUUAGUUGAAGAUUCGGGAUCCAGAUAUCCCGAAGACUGCUUUUAGGACUCGAUAUGGUCAUUACGAGUUCCUUCUUAUGUCAUUUGAGCUGACCAAUGCCCCAGCAUCCUUCAUGCAUUUGAUGUACAGUGUGUUCCGUCCAUAUCUUGACUCAUUCGUCAUUGUAUUUAUUAAUGAUUUCUGGUAUACUCUCGGAGUCGGGAAGAUCAUGAGCAGCACCUGAGGACAGUGCUUCAGAUUUUGAGGGAAAAGAAGUUGUAUGCAAAGUUCUCAAAAUGUGAGUUUUGGUUGGAUUCCGUGGCAUUCUUAGGCCACAUGGUAUCGAGUGAGGGUAUUCAGGUGGAUCCGAAGAAAGUGGAAGCAGUGCAGAGUUGGCCCAGACAUCCUUAGCUACAGAGAUCCACAGUUUUCUUGGCUUGGCAGGUUAUUACCGUCGAUUUGUUGAGGGUUUUAAUCUAUUGCAGCCCCUAUGACCAGGCUGACCUAGAAGGGUGCUCCGUUCCAAUGGAUGAAAGAGUGUGAGCCGAGCUUUCAGAAGCUCAAAACAGCUUUGACUACAACCCUAGUUUUGAUAUUGCCUACAGGUUCGGGGUCUUAUACUGUCUGUUGUGAUGCCUCGAGGAUUGGCCUUGGAGCGGUAUUGAUGCAGGACGGUAGGGUGAUUGCCUACGCAUCCAGACAGUUGAAGGUACAUGAGAAGAAUUAUCCUGUCCAUGAUCUCGAGUUAGUUGCGAUUGCUCACGCCUUGAAGAUCUAGCAUCAUUAUUUGGACGGUGUGCCUUGUGAGAUUUAUACUGAUCACCGGAGUUUGCAACAUCUGUUCAAGCAGAAGGAUCUUAAUUUGUGUUAGAGGAGGUGGUUAGAGCUGCUGAAGGACUAUGAUAUUACUUUUUUGUAUCACCUGGGCAAGGCCAAUGUGGUGGCCGAUGCUUUGAGUCGCCGGGCAGACAGUUUGGGGAGUUUGGCUUAUUUACCAACAGCGGAGAGGCCCAUGGCAAUGGAUGUUCAGGCCUUAGCCAACCAGUUUGUGAGAUUGGAUCUUUCGGAGCCUAGUCGGGUUCUAGCUUGCGUGGUUUCUCAGUUUUCCUUGUUUGAUCGUAUCCUGGAGCGUCAGUUUGAUGACCCUCAUUUGCUUGUCCUCCUGGACAAAGUUUUGCACGGUGAUGCCAGAGAUGUGACUAUGGGUGAUAACGGGGUAUUGAGGAUGCAGUGUCGGGUAUGUGUACCCAAUGUUGAUGGGCUUCGAGAAUUGAUUCUAGAGGAGACCUAUAGUUCGCGGUAUUCCAUUCAUUCGGNNNNNNNNNNNNNNNNNNNNNNNNNUUACUUCAGCAGAUAGAGAUUCCGGAGUGGAAGUGGAAGAGGAUCACCAUGGACUUCGUAGUUGGACUCCCUACGGACUUUGAGUAAAGUUUGAUGCCUUUUGGGUAAUUGUGGAUCGGCUGACCAAGUCCGCACACUUCAUUCCUGUAUGUACUACCUAUUCUUCGGAGAAAUUGGCGGAGAUUUAUAUCCGGGAGAUUAUUCCUCUACAUGGUAUUCCAGUUUCCAUCAUUUCAGAUAGAGGUACUCACUUCACAUCAUAGUUCUGGAAGGCCAUACAACAUAAGUUGGGUACUCGGGUGGAGUUGAGUACAUCAUUUUACCCUCAGAUGGACGGAGAGUCUGAGCGCACUAUUCAGAUUCUUGGGGAUAUGCUCUGUGCGUGUGUGAUUGAGUUUGGAUGGUCUUGGGAUCAGUUCUUUCCAUUGGCAGAGUUUGCCUACAACAACAGUUAUCAGUCCAGCAUUUAGAUGGCACCGUACGAGGCUUUAUAUGGUAGGCGGUGUAGGAGUUCAUCCGGUGUUUCAUGCUUCAAUGCUCCGGAAGUAUCACGGUGAUCCGUCACACAUGUUGGAUUUCAGUUCAGUCCAGUUGGACAAGGAUCUAUCUUAUGUUGAGGAGUUGGUGUUAAUAUUGGAUAGGCAGGUUCGAAAGCUAAGGUCAAAGAACAAUGCAUCAGGGAAGGUUUAGUGGCGGGGUCAGUAGGUCGAGGAGGCGACCUGGGAGAUCGAGCAGGAUAUGCGCAACUGUUGCCCUCAUCUUUUCACUACUUCAGGUAUGUCUCUAUGCUCGUUAGACGACGAACGAAUGUUUAAGUGUAGGAGGAUGUAACAACUCGGCCGGUCGUUUUAAGAAUUAACGCCCCAAUCCCCUAUUAACUGCUUUCCCCAUGUUUGUUUCUGCUAUUUUGAUUUGCCGAGAUGUUUGGUUUUGAGUUUCGGAGUGUUAUGGGACACUUAUUCCCUAAAAGAGAGCUUAAGCUUUAGAAUUUGGACGGUAGUCAGAGCAGUGUGAAGAUGGCCUCGGAAUGGAAUUACGUCGAUUCCAUUAGCUCCGUUGGGUGAUUUCGGGCUUAGGGGCAUGUUCGGAUUGUAUUUUGGAGGUCCGUACCUUAUUUAGGCUUGAAAUACCGAAAGUUGAAUUUUUAAAGUUUCCGUUUCGAUAGUGAGAUUUUGAUAUCGGGGUCGGAAUGGAAUUUUGGAAGUUGGAGUAGCUCCGUAUUGUUGAAUGUGUCGUGCUUGCAAAAUUUUUAAGUCAUUUGGACGAGGUUUGAUAGACUUUUUGAAUGAAAGCGUAAUUUGAGAGUUUUUGGAGUUCUUAGGCUUUAAUCCUAUGUUAAAUUGGUGUUUUGAUAUUAUUUUGAGCGUUUUGAAGGUUGGAAAAAGGUUGAAUGAUGUUUUAGGAUUGGUUGGCAUGUUUGAUUGAGGUCCCAGGGCCUCGGGUGUGUUUCGGAUGCUCAACGGACCAUUUUUGGACUUGGAGAAGGAUCAGAAUUUUGCUCGUUUUUGUUGCAGACUUUUCUUCAUCGCGAUCGCGUGAGGAGGCUCGCGAUCGCGAAGGCUUGGAUGAGGCAGAGGGAAUUUUGUUCUACACGAUCGCGGGAAGGGGAGUGCGAACGCGUAGUAAUAGCAAGAGUUGAAUCGCGAACGCGUGGGCUACGCCGCGUUCGUGAAGAGGAAGGAGUGAGGCACCUGAGGAUUUGGAAGUUGCUCUUCGCGAUCGUGUGAGGUCAACCGCGAUCGCGUAGAGCUGAGCAGUGCAACAUCGCGAUCGCGUAGGGAUUAUCGUAUUCGCGUAGGGUUAAUUUGGGGGUCAGUGAUGUUGCUCCUCGCAAUCGGGUGGGAGUUUCCGCAAUCGCGAUUAAGGUCGCGUCUGGGCAGAACAUAAAGUUCAAAAUCGAGGGUUUGAGUUCAUAUCACAAAAUUGAAUUGGGAGCUCAGUAGGAGACGAAUUUUGGAGAGUUUUUCGGAGGGAGUUUGCGGGUAAUGAUUCUUAACUCCUUUUUGCUUAUAACCCACUAAUCUAAACAUGAAUUCAUCAUCUAAUUUCGGAUUUGGGGUGAGAAAUUGGGAAAAAAUUUGGAAAAGUUCUUAGACCUAAUUUUUGAGUUUUGAUUGGAGAUUUGACAUCGUAUUUGAAUAAUUUUGGUAUAGUUAGACUCGUGAGUGAAUGAGGAUUCAUAAUUCGUAACUUUUACCCGAUUCCGAGACGUGGGCCCGCGGGGCGUUUUGGUCAUUUUUCCUAAUUUUACGUAUUAGCUUAUAAUUAAUUAGUGGAAUUAGUUACUUGAAGUUAUAUUUACAUUAUGCAAUUGAUUUGAAUAGAUUUGGACCAUUUAGAGUCGAGUACUCGUAGCAAGAGCAUGGUUUCGGGUUGAUUUUUGAGCCGGUUCGAGGUUAGUGGCUUGCCUAACCUUGUGUGGGGGAACUCCCCUUAGGAUUUAUUGUUGAUAUUUGAAAUACCUUGUACGUGAGGUGACGAGUGCGUACUUGGUCUAAUUGUUUUAAAUCAUGUUUUCAUUAAGUAACUAUAAUUGUGUUUUCUUUCCUGUUUAUACUACUUGUAAUUUAAACUUGCUGUUAGCUUAGGGAAGCAUGUCUAAUUGACUUAAUUGCUUUACUUACUCAAACUGCCUUAUUUGGAUUAUCUGCAGCAUGCUAGGUUAGAAGUACUUGUUUUACCUUGGUAUAAAAUUUGAAUUGAAUUGAGUAUUCUUCGUGUUACUGCUGUGUGUUUACUUUGGGACUACGGGACGGUAUCCUGGGAGAUCCCCCUGUCUGUUUACUUUGGGACUACGGAUUUGUAUUCCAGGAGACCCCCUGCACAUAUAUAUCAAUUUGGACUAUAGUGUGGGAUACCGAGAGAUCCCCAUCACGUAUAUUGAGGAUACUAAGAGAUUCUCGGGAUACCGAGAGAUCCCCAGCACAUAUAUUGAGGAUACUAAGAGAUCCCAGCAUACAUAUUGAGGAUAAUAAGAGAUCCUCGGGAUACUGCGAGAUCUCCGGUUGUUAUCUCUGUGUUGAGCUGUAUUCCUUCUGUGAUUAUUUUGUCUAUGUUAUACUCGUUGUUAUUCUUAUUAUCCUGUUUUACUUCGUAUUGUUAGCAUUUAAUUAUAUUGUUGUAUUCUAUACUAUUUACCUCGUUUUCAGCUAUAAUCAGUAGGGCCCUGACCUUCCUCGUCACUACUCUACCGAGGUUAGGCUUGACACUUACUGUGUAUCGCUGUGGUGUACUCAUGUCCUUUCUUCACAUGUUUUUCAUGUGCAGAUCCAGGUACUUUGACUCAGUCCUCCUACCCUUGAGGCGAGGCGAUUCUCCAGAGAAUUCGAGGUAUAUCUGCUGCGUCCGCAGACCGAGGAGUCCCUUUCCAUUCUCUCUCAUAGUAUUAGCCCUUAUAUAUUUACUUUUGUUUAGACAUUCUGGAGUUAGACACUUGUAGUUAUUCAACAACUUGUGAUUUCAUGAGAUUUCGGGUUUUGGGAAGUUGUUCAGUUUGAGAGACUAUAAUGUAUAUGCUGAGCGGCAUCUUUAAACUAUCACUAUGUUAAUUUCGCAGUUUUUAUUUGUUUUAUCUGUUGUUUUUCCCUUUUUUCACAAUUGUUAGGCUUACCUAGUCGUAGAGAUUAGGUUCCGUCACGAUAGUUCACGGAGGGCGAACUUGGUCAUGACAGCCUCCAAGAUCUGUAGUGCUUGUAAUGGUUUUCCUGUUGAUGACGUGGAGCUUUUUCCCUUCAUUAGUAGUGCCCCAAAUGAAAUUUCUUUGAAUUUGGCCUAUUUGUUUUUGAAUUUUUAUAGGUAUUAUAGUGUAUUGCAUUACAUGGUUUGGAAUAUUGUUCGAAUUUGAUUGGGCUAGAGUGGUACGACCCGCAAUAUUUAGAAACUUUAUUUUCCAGGCUUAUAGCCUGUUACACAUUUUGUCUAUAAUAAAUUGGAAGUCCUUUGCUUUUGGAUUUUUUUCCAAGAUUGGAAAACCAAGAUAUUUGCCAAACGAUUGGCUAAUCUUGAUGUUGAAGCCAUUUGCAAUGUCUCUAACCUUAGUUAUAGGACAAUUAUUGGAGAAGGUGAUUUUGGAUUUUUGAAGGUUGAUUUUUUGUCCUGAUAACUCGCAAAAGGAUUUUAAGCAGUUGUAAAUUGUUUUUAUAAUUUUUUAAUCUGCUCUAGCCAUAAGAGUAAGGUCAUCGGCAAAAAAUAAAUGGGAUACACCCAUAUCCUUGUUAGUUAAGUGAACAUGAUCCCACAUACAAGUAUCCACUCGAUUGAGAAUUGUUUAGGAUAACAUUUUCAUACAUAAGAUAAAAAUGUAGGGGGAGAGAGGGCAUCCUUGUCUAAUGCCCCUACUAGGACUAAAGAAUUUAGUUGUUGUUCCAUUGACCAGGAUAUCAAUCUGGCUAGUACAAAUGCAAUUCAUUAUUAAGCCUUUCAUCUUCGGGGGAAAGUUGAAAUAGGUGAGGGUUCGAUAAAUGAAUGACCAUUCAAGCCUAUCAAAAGCUUUUUCAAGAUCUAAUUUUAGAAUCGUGUUGUCUUUCUUGCCUUUUAUUUUUUUAAAUGGUUACACAUUUCUUGGAUAAUAAUUACAUUAUCACAAGCCCUUCUUCCUUUAAUAAAACUAGCCUGGAAGGGAUUAACUAUUUUAUUCAGGUGUGGGUGAAUCCUGUUUGCAAUUAUUUUGGUAAUUAUUUUAUAAAUUGUAUUACAGAGGCCUAUAGGUCUAAAGUUUUUUAAAUUGUUAGCGUUGGGCACUUUAGGAAUUAGGUAGAUAAAAGUAUUUUUGAUACCAUGAAGAAGGAUUUGGGUGUUAAAAACUUGUGGGCAGAGAUCAAUGACAGAGCGGCCUACUAUGUCCCAAUAUUUGUGGUAGAAAAAAGGGUGAAUGCCAUCGGGACCUGGGACUUUGUAUGGUUUUAGAGAGAAAAUGGCAUUGACAACCUCAACUGGAUGUAAUUGUUUGUCGAGGGUUGAGAGAUAUAUUUUAUUGAAAUUAUGAUUAUCCUUUUUUAUGCUAUUCCAAUUUGUCAUACUGUGGUUGGUAGUAAAAAUUCUCUGGAAAUAUUGGGUUGUAUGAACAAGGAUUAUGUUAGGGUCAUUUAUCUAGUUACCAAGGUUAUCUUUAAAAAAGUAAUUCUAUUUCUAUGAUGUCUAUUGGAAACCAUGAUAUGGAAAAAUCUAGUGUUUGCAUCUCCAUCAUGGAUCCAUGAAAUUCUAGCUCUAAGUUUCCAAUAGUCGUCUUCGGUUUUUUGGAUAUUGUUGUAUUCAAUUAGGAGGGUAUUUUCUAGUUAUUUAAGGAAAGGGCUAGUAGUAUAAUUUGAAGAGUUUUGAAUUUCUUUGAGUCUAGCCAAUAUUUUAUUUUUAUUUCUGAAGACACCACCAAAGUGAUUGUUUUUUCACUUUUUGAUAUUACUAAAGAAUUUGGUAGAUGUUACGGUAUAGCUAGUAUCAUUCCAGCUAUCCUUCACAAAAUUGAUAAAUUAGGGGCGCCUACACCAAAAUGUUUCUAGCCUAAAAGGUUUUUGGCCACUACAGUAUUUUAUUGGAAUAAUUUCUAUUAGACGGAGAUUAUGGUCAUAGUGUGUUUUAGGAAGAUGCGUUACAGUGGCCUUAAGGAAUAGACUAAUUCAUUCCUCAUUGGCAAAGACUUUGUCAAGUCUUUUCAUAAUUAGGCCGUUAUUUUUCUUCCUAUGAUUUGACCAGGUGAAUUUGCAUCCUUUAAACCCUAGGUCUAUAAGGUUGCAAUUAUUGAUACAAACCCACAAAAGCUUUGAAUGUUUUCUAUUAAUAAUUCUACCACCAAUUUUUUUAUUUUCACUAAGGACGUCGUUAAAAUCUCCUCCCACAAGCCAGGGACCUGUGUAGGAUGCAUGUUGUUCUAUAAGAUUCUGCCAUAUUUUAUUUCUCAGAACUUUAUCAGUAUUAGCAUAAAUAGAUGUAAAUAACCAAGACUUUUUUUGUAGAAAUUAUCUCAAUAGUGGCACUUAUCUCCUGGAUUCUACGCACAAACUAUGCACAUUAACGAUAGUGCGAUCCGACAGGAUGACCAUAUCACCUGAUUGUCCGUCUACCGGAAUUUCUAUCAUAUCUGAGAACCCAAAUGGAUUAAGAAGAGGUAGGUGGCUGUCCAUUUUGGUCUCCAAAAGGGUGACCAUACUGGGAUGGUGCGUAUCAACCAACUCUCUGAAAUUUAACCUUAAAGCUUCGUUGUUUCCUCCACGAAUAUUCUUUAUUAUGAAUGCAGUGGCUCUAUUCAUGUUGAGGUUGUGAUUGUAUAUGUCUCCAUUCUCCCUCACUCUUGUUGCGAGUGUCGGAUUCCUCCUCUGAAAUGACACUAGAAUCAUCGCAUGCUGACCCACUAAUGGGUCUGCAUGAGGCCUUAUGUUCAUUGUGCACGUGAAAAGUGCCAUUGGACAUGUCACGACCCCAAACCGGACCCAGUCAUGAUGGCGCCUCUCGUGAAGACAAGGCCAGUCGACACAAUUCCUAAAUUUAGUUUUAACAGUUUAAUAAGUCAAUUUAAGUCAUUUAUAAGGAUAAAUCCCCAACAAGUACAUAUUUAGAGAAAUAAAACAAGUGCAGAAAUGAAUACAGCCCGACAUCGGGGUGUCACAAGUAACGAGCAUCUACUAGGGUCUAAAUACAACGGAAAAGUCUGAAAUGUACUAAAUACAUUCUAAUUAAAUAAAGAGGGAGAAAAGCAGUGUUGCAAACGCCGACAACUACCUAGCUAAACUGCGAUGACUCUGCCUCCGAUCAACCAAUACCCGCUACCGGGUUCAAAAAUACCUGAAUCUACAUACAAGGUGAAGGGAGUAAAGUGAGUACUCCGACUUAGUGAGUAAUAAUCAUAAAUAAAGACCGAGUGAUAGGAAAUCACAAAAAAUACAUCAACAUGCUGUAUAAAGUAGUACAAAACCAGUAAGAAAGCAAAGAAGCUGUGAAAUCUCUUAAAGCACCUUAGCUCAGUUUAAACUUCUUUAAAAAUGACUUUUUAACAGCUAAGCAAUUUAAUGAAAAUCAAUUAGAACAGAUAAGCACAGAAAGUCCGCCCCUCGGGCACAAAUACACAAUUAAACAGGUAAAUGACCGACAAAUAAGAAAGAUAAACACAUAAAGGUUCGCCCCUCGUGCACAAUGUCAACAAAUCCACCCCUCGGGCAAUAUCCUAGAACAAUACCAGCCCCUCGGGCUAUAUCUCACGUCACAAUGGGUACCCACGCUCACUGGGUGUGCAGACUCCAGGAGGGGCCCCUUGUGGCCCAAGCGCAAUAUCAAGCCAUCUCAUGGCAUCAUCUCUAGGCUCUCGGCCUCAUAUCAACAAGCCACCUCGUGGCGUACAUAUCUCAGGCCUUCGGCCUCAUAAUCAAAUCAGUGUAUCACCACUGCGGUGUGCAGCCCGACCCAAAAGAUAUCCUCACAAAGCAGGCCCUCGACCUUACUCAGUCAAAAAUCACAUAAGCCUCUCGGGCAUCAGUAAAACAUUAUGCUCAGCCCAAAAUAUUAUUUGAAAUAUCAUUUCAAGUGUUAAAGCAGAGUAAACAUGGCUGAGUUUUAAAAACAAUAGAAUAUAGCAUGACUGAGUACAAGCUUAAAGUUAAAACAAUGAGGAAAUAUCAAUAAAAAUCCCCGAAGGGUUCAAAUAGUUGGCACGAGACCCAAAUAUGACAUUCAGCCCCAAACAUGAUGAUAGCAAAUAGUUUUCAAUCAAAUACGCAGUAGAACAGUCAUUCGGGAUGGACUAAGUCAAAAUCCCCAACAGUGCACGACCCCAUGCUCGUCAUCUAGCGUGUGCGUCACCUCAAUAUAGUUUCAUACCCUCAGAAACAUCAUUUACAAUCAUUACUCACCUCGAUUCGGUCCAAACUCUAGCCCCCGAUGCCUUUGCUCACACGAAUCGACCUCCGGAUGCUCCAAAUCUAGCUACAAUCAGUACAUAAUCAUUAAAAUAUGCUAAGGCCAAAGCCCACUCAAAAAUAUCCAAUUUACAUAAAAAAUCCGAAAUUGCUCAAACCCGCCCCCGGGACCACGUCUCGGAAUCCGACAAAAGUUACAUCAAUAGAAUCCUCGUCAUCUCACAAGUCUAUACAUACCAAGAACAACAAAAUCGGACCUCAAUUGCCCCUUCAAAUUUCCAAUUUACACUCUCCAAAGUCAAGCCCUAAUUUCCCAAUUUUAGGCUUUAAUUUCCACAUAUUUCAUGAUUAAACAAGUAAGAAUCAACAUAGGAUCGAGUAUUGAGUUCACAAAUCUUACCUCCAGGUGUUAUAUCUUGAAUCCCUCUUCAAAUCCUCUCAAAAAGCUCCAAAAUCACCCAAAAAUGGUGAAAGAUAGCCCCAAAAUCGCGGACAAUGGCUAUUUAAACAUUCUGCCUAGGCAUCAAAAACCUUCUUCGCGAACGCGGUCAAAGCCUCGCAUUCGCAAAGCACAAAAAUCUGUUGGCCAAAAUUUCCCCUUACGCGAACGCGACCUCUAGCUCGCGCACGCGAAACGUCCGCUUUCCAAACCAUCGCGAACACGACCUCCUUAUGCGAACGUGUAGCACAAAAAGGCUGGGACCGCAUAUGCUCCCACUUACUCUAUGCGAAUGCGACACACGCCACACGAACGUGGAGAAUCAAACAUCCCAACAUCACGAAUGCUACACACGAAACGCGAAUGCAAAUGCAAAAUCGUCGCCUAAAAAAAACACCCUUCGCGAACGCAGGUCCCUGACCGCGAAAGCGGAGAACAAAUUGUCUGCAACACAAAAACAGCAAAAACUGCCAAGUCCAAAGUCCAAAAUUGAUCCGUUUAACAAUCUGAAACUCACUCGAGGCUCUCGGGACCUCAACCAAACAUGCCAACAUAUCCCAUAACCUCAUUCAAACUUGUUCCAACCUUCGGAAUGCUCAAAACAACAUCAAAACACCAAAAUCACAUCGGAUUCAAGCAUAAGAAUUUCAAGAACUUCCAAAUUACGCUUUUGAUAAAAAACUCAACCAAACCACGUCCGAAUGGCCUGAAAUUUUGCACACAUGUCACAAAUGACACAACGGAGCUAGUGCAACUUUCGGAAUUCCAUUCCGACCACUAUAUCAAAAUCUCACCUAUCAAUCGGAAAAUGUUAAAAUCUGAAUUUCGCCUAUUCAAGUCUAAACCUUCCACGGACUUCCAAAAUGCAUUCUGAUCACGCUCCUAAGUCCCAAAUCACCUAACGGAGCUAACAAAAUCAUAAAAAUUCCGAUCCGAGAUCAUAUACCAACAAGUCAAAUCUUGGUCAAACAUUUCAAAUUUCAAACUUCAAACUGAGAACUGUUCUUCCAAAUUCAUUCCUAUUACCCUAAAAACCAAAACCAACGAUUUACAUAAGUCAUAAUCCAUCACACGGGGCAAGUCAUGCCCGAGAAUUGGCGAGGAAAGUGCAAAAUCUCAAAAUGACUUGUCGGGUUUUUACAUCCUCUCCCACUUAUAUAUACGUUCGUCCGCGAACGUGCCUAGAGUUGUUCCGAAAACCAUCAAAUCGCUGUGUAACCUUACCAUGCACAUACCCGGGGGUGAUCCCAUUUCACCCUAUCUCACAUAGGUCCGAUAACACAAUGUAACUGAAAUUUUCACAAUCCAACCGAGCCCAUAAACCUUAGAAUCACAUUUCCACUUCUGAAAUCAUCCACAAGAUCCGAAUCUCACAUCUAUACUCUGAAUAAGCCCGAACAAGUGGUAGUAACCCAUACCUGCAACCUCAGGUUCAAUUACAUGAUACACCACAUAAUUCAAACACUUGUAGCGAUAACUUUUAAUCACACUAGCUGCAUACAACAACUGAAUACUGAUAGAAAACCUCUUAUCAACUAAAGUUUCAUUCCAACACUUUCAUAUACUACCAAUGAUAAAUGAAACACGCAGUAAGCCAAAACCAUUUCUCAAAUCAACCAUUUCUGAAGCCACUUCUCUUUUUGGCAAAGACCAUGGCAAAAUUUCUGAGCCGAACCUCGAUAUUAUUCUUCCAACAUGCGGAAAUCGAAUCUGUUUGUAUUCAUUAAAGAUCCCAACGAUCUCAUCUAACCCAACACAGCUACUCUGGUGACAUGACACCUCGAUACAGCCUAAAGUCACAACUUGCGCAAUCCGCGCACCAAUAAGCAACAAUCUGAACGUACUCAACUCAUGAAAAUGACUCAACUGAAAGAGUUGUACCACAAGCUCACCAGUACCACCACACACAAUACUGAGAACCCGUCACACAUCAUAGAAACAGAACAUACGAAUCUAACCUGCAGGAUCAUACCUUCACAUAGAUUCGCUCCAAUGCGCAACCUCAUCCAACAUUGGUCCACAUAAAACACCUCUAAGUCACUAUGCUCAAAAUCGACAACCAUGCGCAGUAUGAUGUCUAAAACCAAGGCAAUCAUCAUAACCACCGCGAAGCAAUUGACAUAAUAUUACGCAAACCCGAAAGGACAUAACCGAUACGCCAUCCACCGAGCAAUACCCAAUACUCUUCUCACUCGAAUUCCACUAUGAAACCCCAAUGGAAUCACACCAUCUAUGCCUAUAACUAACCAAUUAUAACGUCUCGCAACACAGAAAAGUAAUCCAUAGAUCACCUCAGAACACUAAUAGCUCAAUAACAAUCGAAUCAACACAUCCCUCACCAAUAGCGACUCGAAGUCAACAAAGCCGUCUCGAUGCAGAACACACAUCCAUAUAGGUCUACCAAUGAACCCCUCAUCAAGGAGUUCCGGAAGAUACUCCUUCAACUACUCUCACUCUACCGAUGCCAUACGAUAUGGUGCCAAGCAACAAAUCAAUACCGAAAUCAAUAACUUUGCCCGGUGACAUGCCCGACCACAAGAAACACCUAUGAAAAGUCCCUCACCACCGGAACUGAAUAAAUGGUAGAAGUUUCUACACUGACAUCCAUCACGAAACCCAAGUAAGAAAGACGAUCCUUCCUAGCCAUCCGCUGGAUCUUCAAAAUAUAAACCACUCCACUAGAACAUAAUCCGUCGAACCUCGCCACUCAGUCCGUGGCAUUCCCGACAUAGGCAAUAUCACCGCCUUAGCGUAAUAGUCCAGAAUAACAUGACAUGGAGACAAUCAGUCUAUACCUAAUGUCACAUCCAAAAUCUAACAUACCAAGCAACAAAAGAUCCACUCGGGUAUACAAACCCCAAUAGUCACUAAACAGUGCUGAUACACGUGACCCACAACCACGACAUAGCCUGAACACGAGAACUCCCAGUCUCCAACUCCAUAUAGACCAUGAAUCACCAUACUCCCAAUUCUACCGUCCGAAUACAUACCGCACCUCUUAAUACCCAGUCAUUCCACGAGAGAUGCUCUAAAAUUCUUCUGUGCUGCCAGGCAAACUCGAAUAUCAGCAGUCGAUCUAACAAGAAAGUGCCGCAAUACUACCGAAGUACCAUCAACUUAAUCACAUUGUCUUUUUCUGAAACAUAUACCCUCGUCAAAUCACACUAAUUAGCAUUACCAUUUCCUUAAUCAUCUGAAGAUCAUUUCCUAAAUCAUCUGAAGCUCAUUUCUCUAAUUAUCUAAAACUGCCCGUGCUGCCUAAGAUUUGUGACCUUCCUUUCAGAACUGAUCCAUGACCUUAAACAUGCAAAUCAAAGUCUUGCACAACAUACCUCAUAUACCAUACCGUCCUAAGGUAAACAUGAGAACUUCAUAUCCAUUCCGAACCAUAUGCAACUACGUACUCAACAAGCUAAGAACUUUUCUAUCGGACCUCAGCUAGGAGAAAAUCACUAUACAUCCCAUGCUCUUCAUGCCUGUGGAAAAAAUAUACACCUCUAACCGUGGUAGAAGUCAUCAAGAACUUUCUGAAUUCCAUUUGCACAAAACUAAAUCAUCAGGACUGAAUCCUUCUAACUCAACCAAGCUAUGCAAGCCACUAAAAACUUAAGAGAAUUGCCGCGAAACACCUGCAGAAACUCAUUACUCCGUUCACACCCAAGGAACUACUCAUAUCUUUACCAUACAGAUCCGUCUACUACCAAACUAUCCCAUAUAUCCAGGUUUCCUUCUAAUUUGCCUUCAACUGGAUACUCCUUCUUGCUAUAACACCACAAUUCCUCAACCCAGACUCACCACACGAGACCCAAGCAUAACACCACACCGUCUAAGGCUCAUAAGCCGCUGAAUACUCUCUUAAAUGUUCCAAAAGCACCACGUUCAAAAUACCUACCCCGAAGAGACUUCUUGCGAAUCUGGAACCAUUACCUUCCUAAUACUGGUAUAUAGAAUCCCAUAAUUGAUAUAGAAAUGACACAGUCUCAACACCCUCCAAUGCAAACCUCAGUUUCUAGCCAAAUUAUACACUUGAAAUCUCCAAUUAUUACAUGUAAAACCUUGAACGCGUUAGAACCAUUCUCUAGAGCCAUCCACCCUACUCAAACUACAUUUAGCCUGAUCAAAUGAACCGAACAACCUGUGCCUCAUUAGCACUUCGACACCGCAGAGUGUAACCUCAUCCUAGAACAACGAAGCAACUUCCUGCUCUAUGCACCGAGCAUCCAUUACCAAUAACAACUCAAGACAUUCCGUGAUUCUCAUACACCUAUGAAGCAUGACAUAACCUUUGUCAAAAAUUUCCUUUACUCGAGCCAUCCUCGGUCUCAAUCUCCGUAAGCCAUAACUGAUUCACCUGCAUGCCUCAAACUGGAACCCACAUAGCACAUAACCGUGCAAUCGACUAAUUAAUAGCGGACUCCCCCACUUGGCUCGAAGCCAUAGACCAAAACAUACAUAAUAACUCACAACGCAUAUACUUUAUUGCUGCCAUAAUACCAUAGUGAGAUUAAACUCAAUCCUUCAUAAGCUCGUGGAACACAGACCAUCUGGUACUUUAUAUCUUCUACAAAUCUCGCAUUCACUCUCGUAGUAGUCAAGCCUACUCUCUUGAGCAACCCAAAUUCAAAUUGUAAAACAUAUAUUUCCCUGGUAAUAGAGAUCUUCCAAUAAAUGACACAAAGGAUCACACAAACUUUAGAACAAUCCACAAGAUAUAACCCCACCUGCUUUGCCUCAAACUAAUAUUUCUAUAUACCUUCCACCGUCAUAAACAUUACACAGUCACUUAACCUUCCUGAGUCUGAACUCAUACCACAACAUGAAAUUUACUUCACUCCCAACUAGAACACAUGAAAAUAUUCUUCACACACCCAUAACUUGGGGCUAUACCUAAAAUCGAGAUGAAAAUCAAGUACCUAAUAGUUCUACUAUCUUCCAGCAGACUCUUCUCGUCGUUUCCAAAUCAAAUGAAUACACUUUGUAGUCAUAACAUACUCAUCACGUAGCUAUCCAGUCAUUACUCCCCUUAAUAGGGACAUAACAGAACAUAUAGAUCCAGAAGUACGCACUCACGAAAUCAACAGCUUAGGGCUCAAGCUAUAGGCAAAAAUCUGGCCUCAAGUCUUCCAGACUGGCCCAACAUCAACACACAGAGAUCACAUCUCGCCCCUCGAUCAGGGAAUCACAAGCCAUUGAUGCAUAUCUAAUACUGAGCUCUCAUGCGCGCAUACGAAUGCGUGGAAGGAAUUCAAAGAGUUACUUUUCAAGCUGAAUCAAGGACACACGAUAAGAAUUCAAGAAUGUGAAUUUUUUUUUCCUAAAGGUUUUGCAGCCUUCCGAGGAUAAGUACAGACGUCUCCAUAUCGAUCCGCGAGACUGUGCUAAACCUGCUCAUGACUCGUGAGACCUAUGUAACCUAGGCUUUGAUACCAACUUGUCACGACCCCAAACCGGACCUGGUCGUGAUGGUGCUUCUCGUGAAGACAACGCUAGCCGACACAAUUCCCAAAUUCAGUUUUAACAGUAUUAAGUCAAUUUAAGUCAUUUAUAAGGAUAAAUCCCCAACAAGUACAGAUUUAGCGAAAUAAAACAAGUGCGAAAAUGAAUACAGCCCGACAUCAGAGUGUUACAAGUCACGAGCAUCUACUAGGGUCUAAAUACAAUGAAAAUGUCUGAAAUGUACUAAAUACAGUCUAAUGAAAUAAAGAGGGAGAAAAGCAGUGCUACAAACGCCGACAGCUACCUUGCUAAACUCUGAUGACUCUGCCCCCGAUCAACCAAUCCCACUACCGGGUUCAGAAAUACCUGAAUCUGCAUACAAGGUGUAGGGAGUAAAGUGAGUACUCCGACUCAGUGAGUAAUAAUCAUAAAUAAAGACUGAGUGAUAGGAAAUCAUGAAAAAUACAUCAACAUGUUGUAUAGAGUAGUACAAAACCAAUAAGAAAGCAAAGAAGCUGUGAAAUCUCUUAAAGCACCUUAGCUUAGUUUAAACUUCUUUAAAAAUGACUUUUUAACAUCUAAGCAAUUGAAUGCAAAGCAAUUAGAAUAGAUAAGCACAGAAAAUCCGCCCCUUGGGCAAAAUACACAAUUAAACAGGUAAGUGACCGACAAAUAAGAAAGAUAAACACAUAAAGGUUUGCCCCUCGUGCACAAUGUCAACAAAUCUGCCCCUCGGGCAAUAUCUUAGAACAAAUCCACCCCUCGGGAUAUAUCUCACAUCACAAUGGGUACCCGCGCUCACUGGGGGUGUGCAGAAUCCUGGAAGGGCCCCUUAUGGCCCAAGUGCAAUAUCAAGCCAUCUCGUGUCAUCAUCUCUAGGCUCUCAACCUCAUAUCAACAAGCCACCUCAUGGCGCACAUAUCUCAGGCCCUAGGCCUUAUAAUCAAAAUCAGUGUAUCACUGCUGCAGUGUGCAACCCGACCCAAAGAUAUCCUCACAACAUAGGCCCUCGACCUUACUCACUCAAAAAUCACAUAAGCCACUCGAGCAAUAGUAAAACAUGAUGCUCGGCCCAAAAUAUUAUUUGAAAUAUUAUUUCAAGUGUUAAAGCAGAGUAAACAUGGCUGAGUUUUGAAAAUAGUAGAAUAUAGCAUGACUGAGUACAAUUUUAAAGUUAAAACAAUGAGGAAAUAUUAAUAAAAAUCUCUGAAGGAUUCAAAUAGUUGGCACGAGGCCCAAAUAUGGCAUUUAGCCCCAAACAUGAUGAUAGCAAAUAGUUUUCAAUCAAAUACGCAGUAGAGUAGUCAUUUGGGAUGGACUAAGUCACAAUACUUAAUAGUGCACAACCCCACGCUCGUCAUCUAGCGUGUGCGUCACCUUAAUAUAGCAUAACGAUGNNNNNNNNNNUCCGGUCCAAACUCUAGCCCGCGACGCCUUUGCUCACACGAAUCGACCUCCGAAUGCUCCAAAUAUAGUCACAAUUAGUACUUAAUCAUUAAAAUAUGCUAAGGGAACAAAACCCACUCGAAAAUAUCCAUUUUACAUAAAUAAAUCCCGAAAUUGCUCAAACCCGACCCCCCGAGUCCACGUCUCGGAAUCCGAUAAAAGUUACAUCAAUAUAAUCCUCGUCCUCUCACAAGUCUAUACAUACCAAGAACAUCAAAAUCGGACCUCAAUUGCCCCUUCAAAUUCCCAAUUUACACUCUCUAAAGUCAAGCCCUAAUUUCCCAAUUUUAGACUUUAAUUUCCACAUAUUUCAUGAUUAAACAUGUAAGAAUCAACAUAGGAUCGAGUAUUUAGUUCACAAAUCUUACCUCCAGGUAUUAUAUCUUGAAUCCCUCUUCAAAUACUCUCAAAAAGAUCAAAAAUCAUCCAAAAAUGGUGAAAGAUAGCCCCAAAAUGGCAGACAAUGGCUAUUUAAACAUUCUGCCAGGCAUCAAAAACCUUCUUCGCGAACGCGGUCAAAGCCUCGUGUUCGUGAAGCACAAAAAUCUGUUGACCAAAAUUUCCCAUUAUGCAAAUGCGAACGCGACCUCUAGCUCGCGCACGCAAAACGUCCGCUUUCUAAACCAUCGCGAACGCCAACACAUAGCACAAAAAGGCUGGAAUCCCAUCUGCUCCCACUUACUCUAUGCGAACGUGACACAGGCCAUGCGAACGCGGAGAAUCAAACAUCCCAACAUCACGAACGCGACACAAGAAACGCGAACGCGAAGGCAAAAUCGUCGCCUAAAAAAAACACACUACGCGAACGUAGGUCCCUGACCGCGAACGCGAAGAACAAAUUGUCUACAACACAAAACCAGCAAAAACUGCCAAGUCCAAAGUCCAAAAUUGAUCCGUUUACCCAUCUGAAACUCACUCGAGGCCCUCGAGACCUCAACCAAAUAUGCCAACAUAUCCCAUAACCUCAUUCAAACUUGUUCCAACCUUCGAAACGCUCAAAACAAUAUAAAAACACCAAAUCCACAUCAGAUUCAAGCUUAAGAAUUUCAAGACUUCCAAAUUACGCUUUUGAUAAAAAACCCAACUAAACCACGUCCGAAUGACCUGAAAUUUUGCACACAUGUCAAAAAUGACACAACGGAGCUACUUCAACUUUCAGUAUUCUAUUCCGACCCCUAUAUCAAAAUCUCACCUAUCAAUCAGAAAACGCCAAAAUCUCAAUUUUGCCAAUUCAAGCCUAAACCUUCCACGGACUUCCAAAAUACAUUUUGAUCAUUCUCCUAAGUCCCUAAUCACCUAACGGAUCUAAACAAAUCAUAAAAAUUCCGAUCUGAGAUCAUAUACCAACAAAUCAAAUCUUUGUCAAACUUUUCAAAUUUCAAGCUUCAAAUUGAGAACUGUUCUCCAAAUUCAUUAUGAUUACCCUGAAAACCAAAAUCAACGAUUUACAUAAGUCAUAAUCCAUCACACAGGGCAAGUCAUACCCGAGGACUAGCGAGCAAAGUGCAAAAGCUCAAAAUGACCUAUCGGGUCGUUACAGGACAGUAAAGAAUCUGCCUCUGCUUUUGGAUAUCCAUGAAUAGAAAUACCUUUAUUUUGUCGAGGUUUGAAUAUUCCAUUAUGCUUUCUGGUAUUAAGUUGGUAGGAUCCACCACUUCCUCCAUUGCUUGAUCCAUUUGAACUGGAUUUAGAUGUGUGGGUUGCUGUGGAGGACCCUGAUUAUGCAUGCGUUGUGUGUUCUGUGCAUGGGAAGUUUGGGGUAGGUCUGGCUGUGUAUUCCAAGGAGUGAAUACAGGGUUGAUGUUUGUCACCACUUAUGGUGUGAAGAAAGGUAACUCCAUUAGUGGAGUUGUGCUCUGAAUGAGGACAAAGUGAGGUGGAAGAUUCCAUUCUCCCCUCAUGACAUGGGUUAAUUGGCAGGCAUAUUUGGACAUGCUGGUUGGAGUAUAUUGUUUAUCCAGAUUUGAUUUAUGUAUUUAUUCAUCGCUAGACGAACACCCUCUGAAAUUAGUUGGGCUAGGUAGUGAGUGUUUUGUAGCACAAUCACUGUUUCCCUGCCCUCCAACAUGAUGUUGAACGAUAUGGCAUGUCCUAUCAGACCCAUCUCCACCUAUGAAAGGGGUUGGUGAUUCUGUGGUAGCUAUGGUUGGAUUAGGAUCCUGUGUUGCAGGUUUUGAUUUUGUGGUGGUGGAGUAUUGUCCAUGUUCUGUGGGUGGUUUGGUCUCUGUAACUGUAUCAGGCGAUAGUGACUUCUCAAUGAUAUGGGAAUUAUUGGCAUUGUUGUUGGUUUGAAGAAGUUUUGUAGAGGAUAAAGUAUUGCUCUUAGAAUUUUGUAGAGCAGCUUCUAGGUUUUCAAUGAUUAGGGUGGCUGUUUGCAUGUUGUUAGAAUGAGUUAACAUAGCAGUUUUAAUAGACAGGGGAAAGGAUUGGUUCUGGGAUACAUGUAGGGUUGUGUUGGCCAUUUGUUGAGAUGAGUUCUGAGUGAUUGCCAUGUGUUUUAGGUUAGUGUGAUCAUGCAUGGAUUUGUUUGUUCAGUGGGGGGUCGUUCCGUGUUUGAUGAUGGUAAGUAAGAUUCAUUAGGAUUGAUAUUGGAGGGAUUUUUGGUUAAAAUCGUAUCAUUAGUAGAUUGCAGGCAAGAUGAUUGGUGGGUGGGGGAGGCAUGCUCCUGUAAGGUUGGGGGAAGCUAGACAGUCUAUUAGUGUAUGUGGGGCAAUUUUGUUACCAUUAUUAAUAUUUAUAUUAUUAUUCAAGUUAUUAUUAUUAUUAAAAACAUUCUAUUUCUUAAGCAAAUGAUUGGAGUUGUAAGUGGUAUUGUCCAAAACCAUGUCUGCUUCUUGUAAGAGGGAAAAUGUCACGAUCCCAAAUACUCGGUCGUGAUGACGCCUAUCACAUUACUAGGCAAGCCAACCCAAACCAUUAACUACAACAAAUUUCUUUUAUAAAAUCAUUUUCUAACACAGGUUUAAAUAACAAUUUCCAUAAUAAGUGUUUAAAAACAACAAAAUAUAAGCAGAAGUCAAAUAAACAUGAACUACACAGCCCCAAAUAUCUGGUGUCACGAGUCUAGAACCUCUACUGCAUAACUGACUGUCUGAUGCAACAUAAGUCUAUAAAAUGCGGAAAAGAACAAGAUAAGAAGGAGAAAACAGGNNNNNNNNNNNNNNNNNNNNNNNNNNNNNNNNNNNNNNNNNNNNNNNNNNNNNNNNNNNNNNNNNNNNNNNNNNNNNNNNNNNNNNNNNNNNNNNNNNNNNNNNNNNNNNNNNNNNNNNNNNNNNNNNNNNNNNNNNNNNNNNNNNNNNNNNNNNNNNNNNNNNNNNNNNNNNNNNNNNNNNNNNNNNNNNNNNNNNNNNNNNNNNNNNNNNNNNNNNNNNNNNNNNNNNNNNNNNNNNNNNNNNNNNNNNNNNNNNNNNNNNNNNNNNNNNNNNNNNNNNNNNNNNNNNNNNNNNNNNNNNNNNNNNNNNNNNNNNNNNNNNNNNNNNNNNNNNNNNNNNNNNNNNNNNNNNNNNNNNNNNNNNNNNNNNNNNNNNNNNNNNNNNNNNNNNNNNNNNNNNNNNNNNNNNNNNNNNNNNNNNNNNNNNNNNNNNNNNNNNNNNNNNNNNNNNNNNNNNNNGCACACAAGGUGCAAGGAGUAACGUGAGUACGCCAACUCAGUAAGUAACUAAAGUAAAUAAGGUCUGAAAGGAGUGACGAGCAGUUAAAAAUCAUAUAACUGAAUAAACAACAAGACAACAAGUCCAUUUCAUAGUUUAAAACCAGUUUCAUCGUAAAAUCAUCAAUUUCGGUUUAAAACACUUGAAAUCAUAUACGUAGCAAUUUUUUCAAUAGAGACUAUUUUUAAAAGAAGAGUGAAAUCAGUGACAAUAUCAUAACUGGGCCCCUCGAGCAAGGUAUCACUCAGAACAUGGCCUCUCGGGCAGCCUCUCAGUCACUCGUGACUCACUCUCGUCACCCAGUACUCACUCUCAGCACUCAGGCUCAUUAAUAUCUCAUAACGAUAGAAAUCAUAGUAACCGCUGCUGCGUGCAACCCGAUCCGUAAUUUAUAGUCGACUACGCUCACUGGGGGUGUACAGACUCCGGAGGGGCUCCUACAGCCCAAACGUCAUAUCGCUGCGGCGCGUAGCCCGAUCCAAUAUAUAUAUUGUUGUGGCGUGCAGCCCGAUCCAAUAUAUAUCGAUGCGGCGUGCAGCCCGAUCCAUAUAAGUAUCACUACGGCGUGCAGCCCGAUCCAUUAUAUAUACAUAUAAUAUCCUCACUAUUAGGUUCUUAACCUCUCUCAGUCAUUAACCUCACAGCCUUUCGGGCACAACAAUAGAAAUUAGGGAACUCAGUCCAAACAGUCCUCACAAUUAGAAGUGGAGUGAUAAAACCAGUUUUAGACAUUUAAAUAGGUAAACAUGACUGAGGAUAUUCUUUUAACAAGUAAAGUGAGGAAAAACAGUAAAAAUACCCCUAAGGGUCUCAACAGGUCGGCACAAGGUCCCAGACAUGGCAUACAACCCAUAAUACAGUAUAAAUGAUUAAAGUACAGAAUAAUAUAAGAUUCCAAAUCAAAUACGCGGCUUAAUAGUCGCUACGGAAUGGACCAAGUCACAAUCCCUACUAGUGCACGCCUACACGCUCGUCACCUAGCAUGUGCAUCAUUGCAUUUAUCAAAACAAGUCAAAUACCGGGGUUUGUACCCUCAGUUCCAGAUUUACAGUGGUUACUUACCUCAAACCAGUGAAAAUUACUACUCCGUGAUGCCUUUGCCCCUCGAAUCGGCCUCCACUCGCAUUGAAUCUAUCCAAAAUCAGAAUCACGGCGUCAAAAUAUGCUAAGGGAACGAAGCCCAAGCGAAAAUAAUCAAAUAAUACCAAAAAUCCCGAAAUUGGCCAAACCCCACCAUCGGGCCCACGUCUCAAAACUUGAUAAAAAUCACAUCAAUGGGAUCUUAUCCUCCCACGAGUACAUACAUACCAAGAACACUAAAAUCGGAGUCCAAAUGAUCCCUCAAAUUCACAUUUUAAAGCCUCUUAAUCUCAAGCCCUAAUUCCUCAAUUUUUGGCUUAGGUUCUAUGAUUUAUAAGGUAUAUUUAACAUUAGAAUCAAGUUUUAAGUCCAAGAAUCUUACCUCUAAGUGAUUCCCCUUGAAUCCCUCUUCAAUCCCCUUCAAAAAGCUCCAAAAACGACCAACAAUGGAAGAAUUAAACCCCACAUUUGCGGACAAGACGACCUUUUAAACCUUCUGCCCAGGUCUUAAUUUCCUUCUUCGCGAACGCGGUCAAAGCCUCGUAUUCAGGAAGAACAAAAAUAACCUUGACAAAAUUCCUCUUUCGCGAUCGCGACCACCACAUCGCGAAUGCGAUGCUUUAAUCAGAUAGACCUUCACGAUCGUGUUCCCCUAUCGCGAACGCGAUGAACAAAUUCUCCUUGAAGCUUAGCUGCCCUCUUUGCUCUAUGCGAACGCGAAUCCUCCCCCGCGAACGCUAUGCACAAACUUGUAGCUCUUCGCAAAUGCAUAGCCUUCCUCGCGAACACGAAGGCUUAAUUUCCACCUUCCUCAGUUGACUCUUCGCGAACGCGAAGAGUAAAAUACCUGCAACAGCUGAACAGAAAUCUGCAACUUUUCUUUAACUCAAAAUGGUCUGUUCAACCCUCUAAAACUCUCCCGAUGCCCCCGGGACCUCAACCAAAGGCACCAACAUAUCCCAAAACCUUAUUCAAACUUGUACCAAUCUUCAAAACACCUCAAACCACAUCAAAUCGACCAAAACACAUCGGAUUCAAGCCUAAUUUUCCAAAAACUUCUAAAUUUCGCUUUUGAUAAAAACCCGACCAAACAACGUUCGAAUGACCUGAAAUUUUGCACACACGUCCCAAAUGACACAUCGGAACUACUACGACUCUCAAAAUUCCAUUCUGACCCCUAUAUAAAAAUCUCACCUAUCAAUCGAAAAUCGCCAAAAAUUCGAUUUCGCCAAUUCAAGCUUAAAUCUACUCCGAACCUCCAAACCUCAUUCCGAUAACGCUUCUAAGUCCCAAAUCACCUCCCGAAGCUAACUGAAUCAUCGGAACUCACAUCCAAGCCCUCUAACACACAAGUCAACAUCCGGUUGACUUUUCCAAAUUAAACUUACUCUAAAGAGACUAAGUGUCUCAAACCUUACCAAAUCCUUUCCGAACUCGAUCCGAUCGACCCGAUACCACAUAACAAGGAUAAACAAAGUAUAAAGAAGCUGAAAUGGGGGAAACAGAGCGGUAACUCAUGAGACGACUGUUCGGGUCGUCACAUCCUCCCCAACUUAAACAAAUGUUCGUCCUCGAACGAGUCAAGAAACAUACCUGAAGCCUCAAAAAGGUGAGGAUAUCUGCUCCACAUCUCCCACUCGGUCUCCCAGGUAGCCUCCUCCACGGGCCGACCUCUCCACUGCACUUUCACCGAAGCUAUAUCCUUUGACCUCAACUUUCGAACCUGACGACCCAAAAUUGCUACUGGCUCCACAUCAUAAGUCAAAUCAUCAUCCAACUGAACCAUGCUGAAAUCUAAAACAUGAGACGGAUCUCCAAUAUACUUCCGGAGCAUAGAAACAUGAAAUACCGGAUGCACACUCGACAAGCUGGGUGGCAAAGCAAGCUCAUAAGCCACCUUCCCAAUCCUCCGAAGCAUCUAAAAAGGCCCAAUGAACCGAGGGCUCAAUUUCCCUUUCUUCCCAAAUCUCAUAACACCCUUCAUGGGUGAAACCUUCAACAGAACCUUCUCGCUAACCAUGUAAGACACAUCUCGAACCUUCCUGUCAGCAUAACUCUUUUACCUCGACUGUGCAGUACGGAGCCUCUCCUGAAUUACCUUCACCUUUUCUAAAGAAUCAUGCACCAGGUCUGUCCCUAAAAGCCCAGCCUCAUCGGGCUCAAACCAACCAACUGGAGAUCUACACCGCCUCCCAUACAAAGCCUCAUACGGAGCCAUCUGAAGACUCGACUGGUAGCUGUUGUUAUAAGCAAACUCUGCAAGAGGUAGAAACUGAUCCCAUGACCCUCUGAAGUCAAUGACACAAGCACGCAACAUGUCCACCAAUAUCUGAAUAGUACGCUCGGACUGUCCGUCCGUCUAAGGAUGAAAAGUUGUGCUCAGCUCAACCUGAGUACCCAACUCACGCUGCACAGACCUCCAAUACUGCAAAGUAAACUGAAUGCCCCUAUCUGAGAUAAUGGAAACUAGGACACCAUGCAAACGAACAAUCUCCCGCAUAUAGAUCUUUGCCAACCGCUCUGAAGAAUAGGUAGUACACACAGGAAUGAAGUGUGCGGACUUGGCCAGCCGAUCCACAAUCACCCAAAUAGCAUCGAACUUCCUCAAAGUCCGUGAAAGUCCAACAACAAAGUCCAUAGUGAUCCUCUCCCACUCCCACUCGGGAAUAUCCAUAUGUUGAAACAAGCCACCCGAUCUCUGGUGCUCAUAUUUCACCUGCUGACAAUUGAGACACCGAGCUACAAAUCCCACAAUGUCUUUCUUCAUUCUUCUCCACCAAUAAUGCUAUCUUAGAUCCUGAUACAUCUUGGCUGCACCCGGAUGAAUGGAAUACCGCGAGCUAUGGGCCUCCUCCAGAAUCAACUCCCGAAGCCCAUCCACAUUGGGCACACAAAUUUGACCCUGCAUCCUCAACACCCCAUCAUCACCUAUAGUCACAUCCCUGGCAUCAUCAUGCUGAACUUUGUCCUUAAGGACAAGCAAAUGCGGAUCAUCAUACUGGCGCUCUCUGAUGCGAUCAUAUAAGGAAGACCGAGAAACCAUACAAGCUAAUAACCGACUGGGCUCCGAAACAUCUAACCUCACGAACCAAUUGGCCAAGGCCUGAACAUCAACCGCAAGAGAUCUCUCCCCAAUUGGAAUAUAUGCCAAACUCCCCAUACUCACCGCCUUUCAGCUCAAAGCAUCGACUACCACAUUGGUCUUCUCCGGAUGGUACAAUAUAGUGAUAUCAUAAUCCUUAAGAAACUCCAACCACCUCCGCUGCCUUAAAUUGAGAUCCUUCUGCUUGAACAAGUGCUGGAGGCUAUGAUGAUCAGUAAACACCUCACAAGACACAUCAUACAAGUAAUGCCUCCAAAUUUUCAAUGUGUGAACUAUGGCAGCCAACUCCAAAUCAUGAACGGGGUAGUUAUUCUCAUGGGGCUUCAACUGAUGAGAAGCAUAAGCAAUAACUCAACCCUCCUGCAUCAAUAUGCAACCAAUGCCAACUCUCGAACCAUCACAAUACACAUUAUAUGACCCUAAAACUGAUGGAAAAACUAACACUGGAGCUGUGGUCAAAGCUAUCUUGAGUUUUUGAAAGCUCUCCUCACACUCGUCUGACCAUACAAAUGAAGCACCCUUCUAAGUCAACUUGGUCACGGGCGAUGCGAUAGAUGAGAACCCCUGAACAAACCGGCGAUAAUAGCUUGCCAAACCAAGAAAGUUGCGAAUCUNNNNNNNNNNNNNNNNNNNNNNNNNNNNNNNNNNNNNNNNNNNNNNNNNNNNNNNNNNNNNNNNNNNNNNNNNNNNNNNNNNNNNNNNNNNNNNNNNNNNNNNNNNNNNNNNNNNNNNNNNNNNNNNNNNNNNNNNNNNNNNNNNNNNNNNNNNNNNNNNNNNNNNNNNNNNNNNNNNNNNNNNNNNNNNNNNNNNNNNNNNNNNNNNNNNNNNNNNNNNNNNNNNNNNNNNNNNNNNNNNNNNNNNNNNNNNNNNNNNNNNNNNNNNNNNNNNNNNNNNNNNNNNNNNNNNNNNNNNNNNNNNNNNNNNNNNNNNNNNNNNNNNNNNNNNNNNNNNNNNNNNNNNNNNNNNNNNNNNNNNNNNNNNNNNNNNNNNNNNNNNNNNNNNNNNNNNNNNNNNNNNNNNNNNNNNNNNNNNNNNNNNNNNNNNNNNNNNNNNNNNNNNNNNNNNNNNNNNNNNNNNNNNNNNNNNNNNNNNNNNNNNNNNNNNNNNNNNNNNNNNNNNNNNNNNNNNNNNNNNNNNNNNNNNNNNNNNNNNNNNNNNNNNNNNNNNNNNNNNNNNNNNNNNNNNNNNNNNNNNNNNNNNNNNNNNNNNNNNNNNNNNNNNNNNNNNNNNNNNNNNNNNNNNNNNNNNNNNNNNNNNNNNNNNNNNNNNNNNNNNNNNNNNNNNNNNNNNNNNNNNNNNNNNNNNNNNNNNNNNNNNNNNNNNNNNNNNNNNNNNNNNNNNNNNNNNNNNNNNNNNNNNNNNNNNNNNNNNNNNNNNNNNNNNNNNNNNNNNNNNNNNNNNNNNNNNNNNNNCUCCUUUAAUUCCUUCAACUCUGCUAGUGCCAUACGAUACGGUGGAAUAGAAAUGGGAUGAGUGUCCGGUAAUAGGUUAAUACCAAAAUCAAUAUCCCUGUCCGGUGGCAUGCCCGAUAGGUCUGCAGGAAACACAUCGGGAAAAUCCCUCACAACUGGAACAGAAUCAAUACUGGGAGUCUUAGCACCGACAUCCCUCACAAAGGCUAGAUACGAAAGACAAUCCUUCCCAACCGUACUCUGGGCUUUCAAGAAUGAUAUCACUCUACUGGGAACAUAAUCAGUCACACGUCACCACUCGAUCAGUGGCACACCCGGUAUGGCGAAUGUGACUGUCUUGGCAUGACAGUCAAGAAUAGCAUGACACAGAGAUAAUCAGCCCAUCCCCAAAAUGAUAUCAAAAUCCACCAUACACAAUAAAAGAUCCACUCGGGUCUCCAGACCCCCAAUAGUCACCACACACAAUCGGGACACACGGUCUACAGCAAUAGUAUUACCCACUAGAGUAGAUACAUGAAUAGGUGAAACAAGAGACUCAUGGGACGUAUCCAGAUAAUGUGCAAAGUAUGAUGACACAUUAGAAAAGGUGGAACCGGGAUCAAAUAAUACAGAGGCAUCUCUGUGGCAGACUGAAACAAUACCUGAAAUCACGGCAUCUGAAGCAGCGGUAUCUGGUCUACCCAGAAGGGCAUAGAAACGAGCUUGACCACCACCUGAUCGACCUUCCCCUCUAGGGCGACCCUUGGCUGAUGACCUCCACCCCUAGCUGGCUGGGAGGGUGGUGAAGUAACUGGAAGAGAAGUCGAGGGUUGACCCCUCUACUGAGACUGACUAUCAUUAAGAUGAGGACACUGCCUCCUCAUAUGCCCAAACUCUCCACACUCAUAACAACUCCCCGGUGCUGGAGAUGGGGACUGAAGGGAACCCCUGGCACCGGAAUAACCAGUAGAGGGACCUGGCAUGGAAGAACCCUGAACUGAUAGAGCAGGGGAUGAACUUUGUGCUGGAAGGGCACUAAGUGAUGAGUGGCCCUGAUGAUAACUAUGAAAACCAUGACCCGAUGAUGCCCCACGAUAACCUGGCCGAGCUGAAUGAGCCUGUCUGAAUGGGCGACCUCUGCCCUGUUGGAACUAGCCCCUCGAAGGAGCACCACUAAAGCUACCAGAUCCCCGAGGCCUCUUGGCCUCCCUCUCCUCUCACUCCUGGUGGCGAACCGACUCAAUCUCACAGGCGAUGUCAACAACCUCCUCGAAAGUAGAACCUAUCACCCUAUCCCUAGUCAUAAGAAUCUGAAGCUGAUAUGUGAGGCCAUCAACAAACCUCAUAAUCCUCUCUCUAUCUGUCGGAACCAACCAGAGCGCAUGACGAGCUAACUCAAAGAACCACAUCUCAUAUUGUGUCACAGUCAUCUAUCCUUGAUGCAAUUGCUCGAACUACCUGCGCAUCUCCCAUCGGUGAGACUAUGGCACAUACUUCUCCAGAAAAAGAAUAGAGAACUACUGUCAAGUAAGGGGCGUUGCACCAACAGGCCUACGCCUCUCAUCCGCCUCCCACCAAGUGAAGGCAAUCCCAGAAAACUGAAAGGUGGUAAAAGCUACACCACUGGUCUCUAGAAUCCCCGUUGUACAAAGCAUCCUCUGGCACUUAUCUAAGAAACCCUGGGCAUCCUUGCCCUCUACAGUGCUAAAUGUUGGAGUCUUGAGUCUACCAAACCUCUCUAUUCGAUGCUGCUCGUCAUCCGGCAUAACUAGUACCACAAACUCCUAAGCUAGUGCAACUGGCUGGGCUGGAGGUGCCCCGGUGUCUGGAGUCCCUGCACAACCUACUCAGGUGUGUGAGCAACUAGAGUCUGGGUGCCUCCCCCGGCCUAAGAAGUAGCUGCGAUUGUAGUAACUGAAAUCGCCUGAGCCAAACCGGUACAAACUAAUAAGAUCUGAGCUAAAGCCUCUUGAAGUCCUAGAAUCACAAUAGGCACAACUGGUGCCUGAACUGGUGCUGCUGUAGCAUCCACAACUGGGACCUGAUCCUGAACUGGGGCAGCUGGUGGAUCUGCAGGUGUUGCCCUAGCUGCUCUGCCGCUACCACGGCCUCGGCCUCUGGUGGCCCUAACUGGUGGAACUGGUGGUCGUCCGCCCUGACCGGUAGCAUGUAUCCUCACCAUCUGUGUGAGAAUGGAAUAACAGAAGUUUAGUAUUCGGAUCAACAAGUUCACAUGACAAGAAUUUCAAGAAUAUGAAGUUUUUCCUAAAGGUUCUGCAGCCUCUCGAGGAUAAAUACAGACGUCUCCGUACGGAUCCACGAGACUCUACUAAACCGUUUCAUGACUCGCGAGACCUAUGUAACCUAGGCUCUGAUACCAACUUGUCACGACCCCAAAUACCCGGUCGUGAUGGCGCCUAUCACAUUACUAGGUAAGCCAACCCAAACCAUUAACUACAACAAAUUCCUUUUAUAAAACCAUUUUCUAACACAUGUUUAAAUACUAAUUUCCAUAAUAUGUGUUUAAAAACAACAAAAUAUAAGUGGAAGUCAAAUAAACAUGAACUACACAACCCCAAAUAUCUGGUGUCAUGAGUCUAGAGCCUCUACUACAUAACUGACUGUCUGAUACAACAUAAGUCUAGAAAAUACGAAAAAGAACAAGAUAAGAAGGAGAAAAUAGGGUUGCGGAUGCCGAGCAGCCACCUUGAAAUCUCUGGCAACCUUUAAAUCAGCUGAGGACCCUCACUCUGCCACUCGGGCACCUGGAUCUGCACACAAGGUGCAGGAAGUAACGUGAGUACGCCAACUCAGUAAGUAAAUAAGGUCUGAAAGCCAAAUGAGCAAUUAGAAAUCAUAUAACUAAAUAAACAACAAAAUAACAACUCCAUUUCACAAUUUAAAACCAGUUUCAUCAUAAAAUUAUCAAUUUCGGUUUAAAACACUUGAAAUCAUAUACUUAGCAAUUUUUAUAACAGAGGCUAUUUUUAAAAGAAGAGUGAAAUCAGUGACAAUAUCAUAAUUGGGCCCCUCGGGCAAGGUAUCACUCAGAACAUGGCCUCUCUGGCAGCCUCUCAAUCACUCGUGACUCACUCUCGUCACUCAGUACUCACUCUCAGCACUCAGGCUCAUUAAUAUCUCAUAACGAUAAAAAUCAUAGUAACCGUUGUGGCAUGCAGCCCGAUUCGUAAUUUAUAGUCGACUACGCUCACUGGGGGUGUACAGACUCUGGAGGGGCUCCUAUAGCCCAAGUGUCAUAUUGCUGCGGUACGUAGGCCGAUCCAAUAUAUAUAUCACUGCGGCGUGCAGCUCGAUCCGAUAUAUAUCACUGCGGCGUGCAUCCUGAUCCAUAUAAGUAUCGCUGCGGCUUGCAGCCCGAUCCAUAAUAUAUACAUAUAAUAUCCUCACUAUUAGGUUCUCAACAUCUCUUAGUCAUUAACCUCACAGCCUCUCGGGCACAAUAAUAGAAAUCAGGGAACUCAGCCCAAACAGUCCUCACAAUUAGAAGUGGAGUGAUAAAACUAGUUUUAGACAUUUAAACAGGUAAAACAUGAAUGAGGAUAUGCUUUCAAUAAGUAAAGUGAGGAAAAAUAGUAAAAAUGCCCCUAAGGGUCUCAACAGGUCGGCACAAGGCCCCAAACAUGGCAUACAACCCAUAAUACAGUAUAAAUGACUAAAGUAUGAAAUAAUAUAAGAUUCCAAAUAAAAUACGCGGCUUAAUAGUCGCUACGAGACGGACCAAGUCACAAUCCCUACCGGUGCACGCCCACACGCUCGUCACCUAUCAUGUGCGUCACCGCAUUUAUCAAAACAAGUCAAAUAUUGGAGUUUGUACCCUCAGUUCUAGAUUUACAACGGUUACUUACCUCAAGUCGGUGAAAAAUACUACUCUGCGACGCCUUUGCCCCUCUAAUCGGCCUCCACCCGCGUCGAAUCUAUCCAAAAUCAGAAUCACGGCAUAAAAAUAUGCUAAGGGAACGAAGCCCAAGCGAAAACAAUCAAAUAAUACCAAAAAUCCCGAAAUUGGCUAAACCCAACCCCCGUGCCCACGUCUCAAAACUCGAUAAAAAUCACAUCAACGAAAUCUCUAUCCUCCCACGAGUCCAUACAUACCAAGAACACUGAAAUCGGAGUCCAAAUGACCCCUCAAAUUCACAUUUUAAAGCCUCUUAAUCUCAAGCCCUAAUUCCUCAAUUUUUGGCUUAGAUUCUAUUAUUUAUUAGGUAGAUUUUACAUUAGAAUCGAGUUUUAAGUCCAACAAUCUUACUCCAAGUGAUUCCCCUUGAAUCCCUCUUCAAUCCCCUUCAAAAAUCUCCAAAAACGACCAACAAUGGAAGAAUUAAACCCCACAUUCGCAGACAAGACGACCUUUUAAACCUUCUACCCAUGUCUUAAUUUCCUUCUUUGUGAACGCGGUCAAAGCCUCGUGUUCGAGAAGCACAAUAAUAAUCUUGACCAAAUUCCUCUUUCGCGAUCGCGACCACCACAUCACGAACGCGAUGCUUUAAUCAGAGAGACCUUCGCAAUCGCGUUCCCCUAUCGCGAACGCGAUGAACAAAUUCUCCUUGAAGCUCAGCUGCCCUCUUUGCUCUAUGCGAACGCGACUCCUCCCCCGCGAACGCGAUGCACAAACUUGUAUCCCUUUACCAAUGCGUAGCCUUCCUUGCGACGCGAAGGCUUACUUAGUUGAGUCUUCGCGAACAUGAGGGUCCACUCGCGAACGAGAAGAGUAAAAUACCUGCAACAGGUGAACAGAAAUCUGCAACUUUUCUUUAACUCAAAAUGGUCCGUUCAACCCUUCGAAACUCUCCCGAGGCCCCCGGGACCUCAACCAAAGGCACCAACAUAUCCCAAAACCUUAUUCAAACCAAGAGGUUCUUUCUCUCACGUAAUUUCGCCCGCCCCUUUCAUUUCCGUACCGGAGGAAACUUGUACCAAUCUUCAAAACACCUCAAACCACAUCAAAUCGACCAAAACACAUCGGAUUCAAUCCUAAUUUUUUAAAAACUUCUAAAUUCCGCUUUUGAUCAAAAACCUGACCAAACCACGUCCGAAUGACCUGAAAUAUUGCACACACGUCCCAAAUGACACAACGGAACUACUGCAACUCUCGGAAUUCUAUUCCGACCCCUAUAUCAAAAUCUCACCUAUCAACCGAAAAUCGCCAAAAAUCCGAAAGCCUAAAUCUACUCUGAACCUCCAAAACUCAUUCCGAUGACUCUUCUGAGUCCUAAAUUACCUCCCUAAGCUAACCGAACCAUCAAAACUCACAUCCGAGCCCUCUAACACACAAGUCAACAUUUGGUUGAUUUUUCCAACUUAAACUCAUUCUAAAGAGACUAAGUGUCUCAAACCUUACUAAAUCCUUUUCGAACUCGAUCCGACCGACCCGAUACCACAUAACAUGGAUAAACAAAGCAUAAAGAAGCAAAAAUGAGGGAAACAGAGCAGUAACUCAUGAGAUGACUGGUCGGGUCGUCACAAAAAAAUGGUUUUUUAUCUUCACGUUUUGAUUGGGAAGAUCUUCUGAUCUUAACAGAUUUGUGGGCGUGUUUGAAGAGUUCUUAUUUUCAUAAGCAAUUUUUUGGGAAGUCAAGUACUUACCAGUGUUGGCAUCAAAGAUGUUGACGUUUAUACCUGUCACAGGAGUGUUUUCUAUAAUCUUGGUUGAUAUUUUUGCUGAUUAUUUCUUCUUUCCUUUGAUAAAAGAAACAGUCUUCCAUCCAUCACCUUCUUCCUCGUGCACUGGAUUUGGUUGGGUAUUGUUGUUUUUUGAUGAUGUCUCUUAUGUGAAGUUGUGUCUCAAUAGUUUGCACUAUCUUGUAGGGUGGCCUAGGUGUCCGCAAUUUUUACAUAAUAAGUCCUCUCCUUUAUAUAGAAUUUGUUGCUUAUGUGAACCUAUGAAAACAAAAGGUUUCACAGGUUUGUCAAGAGGGAGUUUAACGCAUAAUCGGGCAUAUCGGCCUCUUAAGGCUGCUGAGGUGCAAGCAUCAACUUUUAGAAGCCUGCUAAUAUUGUGCUUCCUACCUUUUUUAGUAUUUC
rnacentral:lncRNA from 1 species